GGGGUGAUGGUGGUGGAGGUGGGGACUUGUACUUGUAAGGGUGCUUGGGUGGUGAUGGUGGUGGAGGUGGUGGGGACUUGUACUUGUAAGGGUGCUUGGGUGGUGAUGGCGGUGGAGGUGGUGGAGACUUAUACUUGUAAACUGGAGAUGGUGGGGGUGGAGACUUGUACUUGUAAGGGUGCUUGGGUGGUGAUGGUGGGGGUGGGGGUGGGGGUGGGGACUUGUACUUGUAGGGGUGUUUGGGUGGUGAUGGUGGUGGUGGUGGUGGGGACUUGUACUUGUAAGGAUGCUUGGGUGGUGAUGGUGUUGGAGGUGGAGGAGACUUGUACUUGUAAGGAUGCUUGGGUGGUGAUGGAGGAGGUGGUGGGGACUUAUACUUGUAAACAGGAGUUGGUGGGGGAGGAGAUUUGUACUUGUAAGGCUUCUUGUGUGGUGGUGGUGGUGGUGGAGAGUAGACCGGAGGAGGCGGUGGUGGAGACUUGUAAUGGUAAGGUGGUGGUGGGUACUUCUUAGGAGGUGGUGGAGGAGAAGAAUAAGUGUAAUCUGCUGAGGUUUCAAAAGGCAAAUUGAGAGACACUGCUAAAACUAAAAGAGUGAGAAAGAGAGAGGUCAUUGAUGACCCCAUUUUCCCCAUACUUCUAAAAAUGGGUUUAAUUUGGUUAUGCUCUUAGCAACCCUCUUCACUCCCUUUAUAUAGACUUUUUUUUUAACCUUAUAAUCAUGAUAAAAGUUUGAAGAUGGACCGAACCUUCAGCAGCAUGUAAAAAAGACAUUACGUUUAGGUUAUUAGCAUGGUAUGAUAUAAUAAUUCUCUAUUCUCUUCCUUGUCGUUUCCCAUAAAUUCAAUUUUCUCUAUUAAAUAUUUAUCAAAUUCAUUUCUCACUCCCUAUUAAUUCUUUAAUAAGUUUAUAGAAUAUGAAUAAUUAAUCAUUAAACUCGAUUUAAUAAAUACUUUAAACAAUUAAUAAUUUAUCUUAUUUUAUGCUUUAAUUAAGGCAUCAAAUCAUAAUCCUAUUUUAUAUUUUGAAAAUUUAUCAUUUUUUAAAGAACUUAAUUGAUUAAAAUGUGAUUCUAAUAUUUGGCAGGAAAAAUUAGUUUACUUUCCUUAGAAUGUAAUAUUCUUUUGAGAGUUAUUUUCUUACUAAUAAUAGAAAGUGAUAAUUCGUGAGAAAAUUACUUUCACAUGUAAAUAAAAAUUAUUAGAACAAAAAAUUAACUUUCUUUUAUUUAUGUUUAGGUACUAAUUAACUUAUUGAGAUAAAGAUAGUUGUAGCUUGCUUUUUCAUGUCAUUUUCUUAUCUUUACAACUUCAAACCAUUAUUCUAGAGUAAGUUUUUUUUUUUUUUUCUAAAUAGUAGAUAAAUAUCUAUAUUUUAUUUUGCUAUAAGAAAAUUAUAUUUUUUAGCAUACAAAACUUAAAGACAACUUGUAGAAUCAAGUAAUUCUAUGAAAAGCAAGCCUAUUCACAUAUAAUACCUAUUACUCUAGCAAUAAUAAUAUUGACAUUGUCUAAAUUUUCUAAUAAAAAAAUUAUAUAAUUUGUAUGUGUUAAAAAUGAAAAAUAUGGCGGUUAUUAAAAAAGAUUUCAUACAUCUAAAUGAAACUACUAAUUUAAAAAUUAGUAUUGAGAUAAUUUCAAGUUAAUAUUGAAUAUACUUGAAUUUGUACAUACAAAGUAAUGAGGGUAAAAAUUUUGUAAAUUGUACAUCUUCACAAUCUUGAGUUAAUAUACAAUUUUUUAAUGUAUUAAUAUAAUGUUUUAGAUCAAGAUGUGAAAAAACAUAACUCAAAUAUUUGUUAAUAAUAAAAAAUUAUUAAUAAAUAUUUAAUUCAAAAUUUAUUAAUAAUAAAAAUUAUUGAAAAAUAUUAAAUACGUUAAUAUUAUUUUUAUAUAAUAAUGAUAAUUUUGUACAGUAAUCUUAUAUUCUCAAUAAGUGUUAAAUGUCUCAAGAUUUUAAUUAAUACUUUUCAGUGGUUACCAAACAUUGUGAAAUAACUUCUUGAACAAUGAUAUUCUUAUCAAUCACAUUCCAUUAGAAAUUUAACAUAGGAAAGCACCAAAACAACCGCUUAAAAAUGAAUGUGCAUGAUUAAAAUCGCGAUAAGUCUUGUUUAUCUAAAAUUUAAAUAUUCAUUUUAUUAUUUAAAAUAUAUUAAUUUUCCAAAAACAAUCAUUAAUAUUUAUAUUUCUAAUUUUAAACAUUCUUUUGUUAAUUAAAUGAUAGUGUAAACGGUUAAACUCAAAUCGAAAGCAUUUUAUCUUAUAGUAGAUUAUAUGACUCAUAUUAUGGUUGAAAGUAAAAUGUAUAAAAUCAAUACAAACAUCAAAUAUUAAACUUGCACUCAAUAGAUUUUAAAAUUUCUAAUUUUACCACUAAUCUAUUUUAAGAUUUUUAAAAAAUCGUACUUUAGAUUAUCUAAUUUAAAUUUUAAAAUUAUUAAAAAUAAAAAAAUUCUUAAUAAAAAAAUUUGUUUCAAAUUUUUAACCUUUUAAUAUAAUUGUUUUAACUGGUUAUCUAAACUAAAUAAAAACUUAUUUAGUAUAAAAAAAAGUGGUAAAUGUGAAAGGAGCACAAAUCACAACUACAAUAUGCUACAUUAGUUUUAUAAUUGGAUUAAUUUAAUCACCGGCAGAGGAAAUGUGUUAGUUCUAGCUACCACCAAUUUAUUUUAAUUCCUUUAAAAAUAUUAGAAAAAAUCAAUUUGAUUUUUAAUAAUAGAUCUAAUUACUUAAAGGAACAUCGGUGAUGUCCACAUGGCAUACAAGGUUAAGCAUAUAAAAAAAGAACAAAAAGAUUAAGUAUCUUUGCAAGAUAGCUUUCUGAAAUAAAUAAAACUUAAAUAAAAACAAUUUUAUUAUCAAAAUAAAAAGAAAAAAGAAAAGAAAUACUAGUGUUUUUAAUUAAAAUAGAGUGAUCUGGGUAGAAUCUUUUACUUAAAUACUGACAUUGACUUUAUAAGCUAUUUUUUAUCAAAAGAAGAAAGAGAAAAGCAUCCGAUUGAAGAUGUGAAUUAUUAAAUUAAAAUUAAUCAUACAUGUAAAAUUUUAUUGUGCUUUUUUCUAGCCCUCCGAAUGACAUUAUGCUUUGAUUACAACAUUCUUGCUCAGAGAUCGGGUUUGAAGAUGAACUCGGAUGCAUUUAGAUUUUUACAAGUAAAUUAAAGGAUGUUAGAACUUGUAUUCCGAUAAACUUAUAAUACAGAAAGCAAGUAAUAUGUGACUGUACAUAAUGGCUAUGAGGCGAGGAUAUGAUAUGAGAAGAUAGAGAUGAGAGAUUGCACUUAAGGGGUUAACACCACUUUCCUUUUUGUGUUUGGUCCCCAAAGCAUCUCUUAUUGGCUGAUGUUGCAAGGCCGUCCCAUAAGUUGGUCUAAAAGUGCUUGAUAGCUAGAAUUAAUAUUGUGGUAUAACAUAUGUCACCACUAGGUUUGAAUAAGGUUACACAGUGAUUUGAUGAAGAUUUAAAAAAGCAUAGAGAUAAUUAUGUUGCAAAUAUUGUAAAAGUAAGAGCUAAAUUGUUUGGCUUUAUUAGAGUUUAGACUCUGUUAGUCUAUUACCAUUCUCUAUUAGUCUGUUACCAUUUUGUUAUAUAGGCUGUAAUAUUGUUAGAAAGCAGUUAGCAGCUGUUAGUCAUAGUAGUUAGUCAUACAAAUAUAAAUUCUAUUCAUGUAUUGUUCAAAGGUAAGCUAAUAAUAUCAGAAGCGAUUUAAUGUAUUCAUUCUACUUUUUUUUUAUUCUUCAUAAUACAGUUGUUAACAUGGUAUCAGUACCCUAAUUUCUUAGAGGUCGCUUCUAUUGUAGAUCCAUGGCCAAUUCCACUGAUUCUACCUCCACUGGUCGUAGCAGUCCCUCGUUCUCGAUUCAUGUUUGGUUCAAUCGUUUCCUCGUCGUCACACUGAGAAGUUAGAUGAAAGAAAUGUUAUGCAAUGCCAACAGCAUAUCCUAUUGAUAAUUGAAGGGUAUGAACUCAUAAGAUUUUUAGAAGGGACGUUACCUACUCCGCCUCGCUUUGUGUCAUCUCCCGAUGGAACCUUGGCUUCGGCUCCCGAUGCAUUCCUGUUUGUUCAGCAAGAUAAGUUACUCGCUCUUUGGUUGCUUUCUACGAUUAGUGCUCCUUUGUUGUCCUCUUUUAUAGCUGCUAAGACACCGUGUGAGGUUUGGAGCACUGUGAAUCACCUCUUUACUGUUUCCACCAGAGCGAAGUUAUCGCGUAUUAAGCAUGAACUCCACUCCAUCAAGAAAGGCAUGAUGACUGUCAAAGAGUAUAUUAUUAAGAUUCAAAAUACCUGCACCUUACUCGAGGCAUCUGGAUUGGUGGUUUCGAAGGCCGAGAAGGUAGAGAUCAUUCUUGCUGGCCUAUCGUCAGAUUAUGAUGUCGUUUUAACACUACCAUAGUUCUCUUCUGAAACUCUUCCGUUACAGAAGAUAGUUGUUGUGCUACUGAAGUUCGAAAGCCGUCAGACUCAUGUCGUGAAUGACAUACCUUUUCAUGCUCAUCUGGUAGAGGCCACUUCGGCGACAUCGGUGGAGGACUCCGUACAUGGUAGCCAUCCUCCUCCUGGUGCUCGUGGGCAUGACUUUCGACUCGGCUUCAGUUCCAGAUCUAUGGUUGCUAUGGACAUCUGGCACAACGCUGUUAUUAUCAUUUCAACCGCGAAUACAGUGGUCUAUCUGCUCUGACCAUGGCGCAGGCUUCGCUUUUGUGCUGGGCACUAUUCGUGUGACAAUGUUUUUGGUGCAACUGGUCUCUUGACCGGCUGGUUUCCAUCAGCUCAUCCUAGUUCAAACCCCUUCGAUGUGCCUGGACAGUGUGCCGAUUCUUCGGUGACGGUACCGGCGCAUUUCCCUUAUGGCUCCUCUUGGGGAGGAUGGCCACAUUUGUAAAACAAUGCCUCCCUUGUGCCAAGUCUACCGAAUGUUAGGGUUUCUAACCUUUUUGCUCCUAAUUUUAACAAUGAGGCAAGCUAAGUGUUUGGGCCCGCUGUUGAACCAGGCUCAAAUAGUGACCAAUCUGGUGGUCCUCACUUGCCGCUGAAGAUGGGCUAACGCAUUGGGCCAUUCGCUGGUGUUCCUAGGCCAACUGCUUCAGGCCAAGAUUUUGGCCUAAAUGGAAUUGGUAGGCCAGCCAGUGCUCGUCCUAGCAUUGGAUAGGGUUCACUUGGGUCAAAUGUCAAUUUUAUUGGACUUGAGGGUUCUUUUGGGUAUAGACAAGAGUUUGGGCCCACCACUGGCAAUGUUUCAGUGCCAAUUAAUAGAUCAUGUGUUCCAUGGCACACAAAAUCGAGGGCACGCGUUAUUGAUUUUGAUUCUUCGCUGUGCGUUGGGUUGCAUCGCUUUACUAAUUUUCACGCAUCCGAUUUUUUUACUACCACUGGGUCUAAUGCCAAUACAACUCCAUAUAGGUCUAAUUUUGAUAAUGGUAAUUCUUACAUUCCUAUGCCUAUAGGGACCUCAUCAUGGUGUCUUGAUUUAGGGGCUACGCAUCAUGUCUGUUGAGAAGUCUCUGCCUUGAAUAAGUCUACGCCAUACUCAAGUACAUCUCCUUUCUUCACGGAUGAUGGUAUUCCUACAAAAAUAUCGUAUGUUCGGAAUCUUAUCUUGUCUAUGAAAACCAAAUUGCUUCAUUUGUCUAAUGUUUUGUGUGUGCCAAAUAUACGGAAGAAUUUGCUAUUUGUUUCUCAGUUUGCUAAUGACAAUAACGUGUUCUUUAAAUAUCACCUGUCUUAUUGUGUUAUUAAAGACAUCCAGACUCAUGAAAUUUUACUACGGGGCUACACUCGUGAUGGGCUCUAUUAUUUUUCGUCGGUUACUCUUGCUCUGUUUGUCGUUGUUCCUUUUUUCAUAGCACUGGGAUCUAGAGUCGCAAUGCAUAUGAUGAUUGUUUUGCAUUAUGGCAUCACAGGCAUAGUCAUUUGUCUGCCUCGAUUGUUAAACUUGUUCUCGAUAAGUGUCAAGUUGUUUCAAAAUAAAAUGUGCCUUGAAAAUAUUUGUAUUGCAUGUCAAAACGGGAAGUCUCACAAACUGCCUUUUUCAAGUUCUACUACUGAAUAUACAAAUUUGUUUGAUUUGGUUGUCUCUAACUUAUGGGGACCAACGUCUGUUGUCUGUAGAAAUAAUUUAUAUUAUGUUUUGUUUAUCGAGAUGUGUAGUUGAUAAACCGUAAUUUAUACAUAUUUUUAUCCUAUGUUUGGCACAUUUAUAGAUGAUUUAUCCUUAGAUUUGGUGAAUUCGAUGCUCCUAAUCCUUUAAUUUCAUAUUUUAUACUUAGGAGAGCAUAGGAGGGCAAAAAGAGCGAGAAACGGGCCGAAAACGGAAAAAAUAGACCCACAUGGGAAAUCAACAUGGCCUGGACUUCCUCACACUGGUAAGCCACACGGCCGUGUCCAUUUGGCAGGAUCGAAGCAAGACUUACACGAGUAGACUACACGCCCGUGCCUUUUUAAUAGCCUUGACCACUGUCUGGAGCAAUCGCGCACGGGCAUGUCCCUGUCGAGCCCAAGUAUAGUCUUAUUCGGAAAAGGUCUAUUUUAAGGGCUCUUAGGCAUUCUAAAGCUUAUUUAAUCACCUGAGAAGGCACUUAAAAGGGGGGACACGGAGUAGGAAGCAAGGAAUUACUCGAAGAAAGCCGAUUGAUCCAUCUCAGAAGCCUGAUUAUUCAUCAAGACUGAAAAUCUCCCUUCAAUUACCAUUCAGGAGUUUUGGGUUUUCUUUAUGUUUUGUAUUCAUUAUUCUUCUGAGAUGUUUUCUUUUAUAAUUAUGAUUUAAACCCUCUAAAUACCUAAGGGGAAUGAAACCUAAACGGAUCUUGUUAUUAUUAUCUGAAUUAUAUGAUAAAUAUUUGACUUGUUUUUAAUUAUAUGUUCUUAAUUCUUGUCUUAAUAUUCCAGGAUAUUGAUUCAAGUUAAUGCGCUUAUUCAGAGGAGCAAAAGUCCCUGUCUAAGAGUAAAUUUGUCAUAAUUAAACAGAGUUGAUUGCACACCUAAAGAUAGGGUAACAAGAUUUUGCCGAAUUAGGGUGAAACCUAAUAAGGAGAUCCAUAGAUCGAGUUAAUGCAACACUAGGGCGUUAAAUAGAAAGAGAUUUCAAUUAAUCAACCUAGGGUUAGAUGUUAUUAGUCUUGAGAGAGAUAAUAAUAUAACUUAGGGAUUUGUACGGAUCAUGUCAAAUGGAUAAAUCGACUGAUUCAGAGUCAAAUAACAAGUGAAGUCUAGGUGGAUUUUUCCUUGGGUAUUGUCCUAAUCAAGCGAAUUUUCUAAAAGUAUUUUCCCCAAUUUUUCAAGCGAAUUUUCUAAAAGUAUUUUCCCCAAUUUUCUUUCUCUGCACCCUUAGUUUAGUUAAUUAGUUUUAAUAAACAAAUCCUUUAAUUUUUAGGUUAGAUAAUAAAAAGAAAGUGAUUACUAGUACUCUUGGUUCCUUUGGGUUCGACAAUUCGGUCUUGCUAAAGCUAUAUUACUGUUCGAUAGGUACACUUGUCUUUAUCGUGAUAAUAGUUGGUUUCAAUAACGAUCAUUUCUAAAUUAUUUAAAACUUAUCGCAAGUAUCAUGAAUCAAGUUUUUGGCGCCGUUUCCGGGGAACUAAGAUAUUAGGAACACUUGAUUUUUAUUACUUUAGCCAUUUUUCUUUAUUUUUACUUUAAAUUUUUAUUUUCUUUUCUAAUUUUUCUUUUAUUUGUUCCUGACAGGUUUUUAUAGUUUAUGAUUAGAAGAAACCCGUCGGGACCAUUACUGUUUGAUAGUGAGAUCGAUCGCACAGUUCACAGAAACCAAAGAAAAAUAAGACGAAGCUUAAGAUACAAAAAGGAAGAGUAAGACGACGAUACUUCAACCACAAUCGAGAAGAUGGCUGAAAACCAGGAAAAUUUGCUACCUCCUGUGAUUUCUGCUGAUCCAGUAAAUCAGAAUCCUACUCCACGCACUAAGUAUGAUUAUGCUAAACCUACUUUAACAGGAACUGAGUCAAGUAUAGUUAGGCCUGCUAUUGCUGCGAAUAAUUUUGAACUGAAACCUAACACAAUUGAAAUGAUACAGCAAUUUGUUCAGUUUGAUGGUUUGCAGGAUGAGGAUCCAAACAACCACUUGGAAAAUUUUCUAGAGUUUUGCGAUACAUUUAAAAUCAAUGGCGUUUCUACUGAUGCCAUUCGCCUUCAGUUAUUCCCUUUUUCAUUGAGGAACAAAGCUAAACAGUGGUUGAACUCGUUACCACAAGGGUCAAUCACUGCUUGGGAACAAAUGACCGAAAAAUUUUUAUUAAAAUAUUUUUCGUCGACUAAAACAGCCAAAUUACGUAAUGAUAUCUCUUCAUUUAUGCAAAUGAAUAUAGAAACACUCUAUGAUGCAUGGGAGAGAUACAAGGACCUUUUAAGAAGAUGUCCUCACCAUGGGUUACCACUCUGGCUACAGGUUCAAACGUUUCACAAUGGCCUGAAUCCUUCGACUAGACAGAUGAUUGACGCAGCUGUUGGAGGAACUAUCAAUAAUAAGACACCUGAGGAUGCUUAUGAAUUUAUAGAAGAGAUGUCACUAAAUAAUUAUCAAUAGCAAGUCAUGAGGACAAAACCGAUGAAAGCAACCGGGGUUUUUAAUGUUGAUUCGGUCACCAUACUUUCUAAUCAGGUAGAACUUUUGAAUAGAAAAAUUAACAGUUUUUUUGGUUCUUCACAGGUUCACCCAGUAAUGCAAUGCAAUGCAAGUGGGGGAGAAUUGAGCAAUUCAGAAUGCCCACCCUAUGGCCACAACAUGAAAAACAAGCAAUUAAAUUAUAUGGAUAAUAAUCCUCGACCUCAAAAUAAUCCUUAUAGUAACACUUACAAUACAGGAUGGAGGAACCACCCAAAUUUCUCAUGGGGAGGCCAAGGGAAUCAGAGACCACCACCAUUUCCAGGUUUCUAACAGCAACCUUACCAGCAAAAUAAAAAUUUGAACCUUGAGGAAAUGCUAACAAAAUUCAUCUUGGUGUCAGAAACUCGUUUCCAGAAUACCGAGACAGCACUUAAAAAUCAACAAGCGUCGAUCCAAGGGCUCGAAACUCAGAUAGGCCAGCUCGCUAAAUUGAUAUCUGAAUGAACACAAGGUAGCCUACUGAGUAACACUGAAUCUAACCCAAGGGAGCAACUCAAUGCGAUUGCCAUUCAAGAUGAGGAAGGGUUAGUUACAUCUAAACCAGAACCGAGGCAAGAAACUGUGGUAAGUAAAGGUAAAGGUAAGGUAAACCACAUCGAGCAGAAACCGGUAAGUAAAGAGUACAAACCACGAGUGUCAUACCCAAAUGCGACAAAGAAAGACCAUACAGAUGAACAAUUUUGUAAACUCCUUAAACUAUUAAAGAAAUUACACAUUAACUUACCGUUUAUUGAAGCCCUUUCGUAGAUGCCGAACGCAGUCAAGUUUUUAAAGGAGCUUUUAGGAAACAAGUGAAAGUUGGAUGAAGCGUCGCAUGUGGAGUUGAACGUAGCUUGCUCAGCUAUUCUACAAAAUAAGCUACCCAACAAAUUAAAAGAUCCAGAGAGUUUUACAAUUCCUUGCUUAAUUGGUAGCUUAGAUGUUAAUAAUACUUUGGCUGAUUUAGGGGCUAGCAUCAAUGUCAUGCCUUACAAAAUGUUUAAGUAACUAGGUCUUGAGAAACCCAAACAAACUAAGAUGAGUAUUCAAUUAACCGAUGAAACAAUUAGAUUUCCUAGGGUUAUUAUUGAAGAUGUACUCAUUAAAAUUGACAAAUUUAUAUUCCCAGUUGAUUUCGUUGUUCUAGACAUAGAGGAGGAUAGUAACGUUCCUUUAAUUUUAGGGAGCCCUUUUUAGCAACUGUUAGAACAAUAAUUGAUGUUGGCACAGGUGAACUCACACUUCGUGUGGGAGACGAAACAAUCACCCUUUAAGCUCGUAAUUCAAGUAACACAUCAAAAAUUGAAGGUGGUUGUAUAAAUCAUACUAUUAAAACUGAUCAUUUGGUGAAACCUUCCUGGCAGGAAACACGUUCAAAGAACACACCUGAGCCAUGUUCGAGUAACGACAAAAGACCUAUCUAUGAAGAAUGAAGGCUACAACUUGAGGAACUAGAUGAAUAGCUGACACAUAAACCGAGGACACACGAUAAACCAAAACCAUGCCAUGACGAGCUCAAUAUUUCACCAAAUCAACUUAAGGUUGGAGACAAAGUACUACUAGAUGCGGUAGACCCUCGUAUUGCUACGUCUGAACCUAACGGAGCAAUCCCUCUUACAGUACUCAACAUUUUCCCAUAUGGUACAGUCGAGGUUAUUCAUCCCAAACUCGGCACUUUUAAGGUAAACAGUACUCGUCUUAAACCUUAUUUUGAUAAAAUUGAUAGCAGGGAUGAGGAGUGUGAACUCCUCACAUCACAAUGACCAUGCAACAGAAAGGUAAGUCGAGCUUAGACUAUAAAUAAGCGUUUUUCGGGAGGCAACCCGAGCAUUAAUGAUGUUAACUUUUUUAAAAUUUUAGUUUUUUACAUCUAAUCACUAACUGAGUCAGUGAAACACAGGUUUUCUAAUCUACACGGCCAAGCACACGGACAUGCCUUAGGCCGUGCUCACACCAUGGGAGGAGACACAGCCGUGCGAUACUGCCGUGUGAAAACAGGGUAAAAUUUUUCCUUAACACGGGAUGUGAUAAGUUGCCACGGCCGUGCGAUGUAGCCGUGGGCGAGUCUUUCAAACCAACACAGGCGUGUGACACACCCGUGUCUAUAAACCAUGGUUGAAACUGAGAAUUUAGCACGAGCAUGUCCUAUCAACCGUGCUCAAGACUGAAAAAAGAACACGGGCGUGGACAUCUAUACACGGGCAUUGGAGAAGAGAAUGAAACAGAACAUGGUCGUGUGACACAGACGUGUGCACCAACACGCCCAAAGAGCACGGGCGUGUGAAGAAUUUCAGACACGCCCAAAUUUGAAAAUUACGAUAAACACGAGCUGAAAUAAGGGCACAUGGGGGUGCCCCACGACCGUGUGCCCCAAAAUCUAUAUAAACCCCUUACUAUUCAUCACCCCCUUCCCCAAAAUCUCUAACCCUAGCCGCUGCAACUUCACAUGCCCUACCUGCCACGCCCGUGCACCGUCCACAGCACCACCUUUGACAACCCAAAGCUCCUCCCUCUUACGUUUGUACAUUUUUUUCCUUCUAUUCUCUUCAUUCUUUUACUUAUUUGAUGAUAUUUUAUUUUAUUUUGAGUAAAUAAUCAUAGUUAUAAUGAUAGAAUACUUAUGCUCUUUGUUAAGAAAUUUACCAUUUUAAUUGAUAUAUUUUGCUGCAUUUAUCCACUUUUCUUGUUUCCAUAGAUUUCAUGCUUACCCACACCAUAUUUCAUACUUAUUAAACCCACAUGCAUUCAUUCAAUAGAUAUUUCCAUUAGCAUUACUCUCGUAGUCCUAUUCAUAGUAAUGACUUAAUAUAUCUGAUUGGGUUAUUUUUAGUAUAGUUGUUCUUUAGUACAUGACUUCUAUGAAGUAUCUCUAUUAGUUUUACCAUGCAUAUUUUCUAUGCUAUUGCUGGGGAGUAAUUUUAUUUUUUAUUUUUUCUUGCCAUUGUAGGUAUACUAUCUCAACCUUACGUGGUAAGGAGACCGCCAUCCCCUCUUCGAAGAAAAGGAAAGGAGCAACGUCAUCCUCAGGUCCUACCGCUGAGAUCCGUUACCCUUUCCUCCAGUUUCCCUUUGGACCCCAGGAGGAACUAUUUCAGAUAUUACGGGUCCGACCCUUAGGUGUAGGCCACUGCAUUGACUGGGCUGCACUUAAAAAAAUUCAAAUGGCUGACGUGGUCCAAGCCCUCCUGACGACUACCCGUGGAGGCUUUUCUUUGAGAUCAUCGAGCCGAUGUACCACGAGCUCACAAUGGAACUCUACUCGACCUUCCAUCUUCAAGUCGCCAUGAUAAACUGCGACGAUCCUAGAACGGUCCAAUUCCACCUCAGUGGUCUAGUGCGCCAGUUGAGCGUACCGAAGUUCAGAAUUGCACUAGGGCUGUAUAUGGAAGAGUUCAUGGAUGACAACGAACUUGACACCCUCUAUUGCCACAUCCACUACUCUCUCUCCAAAUGCUGGAAGGACUUUGUCCCUGCCUCGGCCACCUAUGAUCCUAACUACUCUAAGGCAUCAGCCCUCACCCCAUCCCUGUGAUACCUACACGCCAUCUUAGCCCACACUCUGACAGGGCGGCGAGAGAGCACCGGCAUCAUCAACACUCACGACGCCUACUUUUUAUAGAGCAUGGCAAACGGGCACGUCUUCGACCUUGCCUAUUUCAUUGCUCUCGCCAUCCGCCAUCAGACGGAGCGGCAUAGGAGAGGAGUUAUCACCAUUAGCCACUAUGUGACUCGACUGGCACGGCACUUCGGGCUCCUCAACACAGCAGCAUAAUCAUCCUCACUCACUCUCAUUGGUCAUAUGUCCCCUCAAGGCAUCUCGAGUAUGCUACAUAUGAGGAUGCUCGAGAAACGACGUGGAACUUACCCUCCUCAGUACCGCCUCGUCCAGUCCACUAAAGAGGAGAACCCAUAAGACAUUACUGAUGAUGUCCCUCCACGUCAUGAGGACCCACCGUCUCAACCAUCACCCAUCCAUCGUCCAGUUCAUGCGGUGGCUUCAUACUCUGAUAUCUCUAAGCACCUUACUCGAUUUAAGCAGCAGUGUUUUCAGUGCUUUGAUCACAUUGAUGCUACUCUUCAUCAGAUUUGUCAGCACCUUCACAUCUCAUCGCCACCACCACCUCGCGAACCAUCCGGCGAUGCUGAUGUUUAAAGACUUUUUAUUUUUUAUUUUUAUUUCCACUUUUAUCUUUAUUUAUCUUCUUUAAGUAGUUUUUAUUUUAUUUUCCUUUAAUAUUAUUUCAAUUUUAGGUUUUAUAAUUUUUAUUGAAUAAUUUAUAGUUUUGGCUAUUUUAUUACGAGUAAUUAUGCUUCCUUAUAUUUCCUAAAGAGUUCUUGAUUUUAUCACAGUUAUAAAGAGCUCUAAAGCUCAUCAUCACUUAGGAACUAAAAAAUCACUGGAAAAGGUUCUCCACAACUGUCAAGUCCUGCUCGACCACGACCACAGCUACUACCAGAUAUAAUAUUCUGUUGGCGCAGGACUUAUGGACUAAUGAACCUCUACCACCACCGGAGUAUCCUCCUCCACUCUCAUCAUUGCCUUGGCUGAUUAUUCUCCAUAACUCCAAUUGAAGGAGUUCAUUCAUCAUUCAGGAAGUUUAACUUCUCUUCUUAUCUUAUGAGUAUUUAUCUAUAUUUUUCAGUAUAUCUAUCUUUGUACAUUGAGGGCAAUAUACAUCUUAAGUGUAGAGGGUCUUUUAUAUCAUUAUCAGAAAAAUCCCUGAAUUUUAUCUUGUUCUCAAAUCAUCUUCUCAUAUCAUUAUUAGAAUAAAAUUUGAUUAAUUUAUGAUUGUUAUUGAUAUGUCUUCAAUUAAAACAUAGGCAUUCAUGUAUUGAUUGUUUAAACUUUAAGGAAUUAGAUAAUCAAGCAGGAUAAGUUGAUUUUUGAGAAUUAAAAAUUUUUAGGUUGUUUCCCCAAGUUUAGGUAUUAUCUCGAGUUAAAAUUCACAGGGUUAACAUCAACAAGCCAUAAUUUCUGUAAGAUCUUGAGCCUUUAGAGCAACUAUUAUUUCUUUCAUGCUCACUGUUAUUAUUGAUAAUGAGUGUGUCAAUAUUGAUUUAUUAUUCUAGAACUUGCUUGAUUAUGCAUGUCAAGACCACACCCUUGAGUUAAUAUGUCAAUAUGAUAAAGGCACCUAGGUUUAACCCACUCACUCCAUAAAAGCAUACCUUCAUAAUUUACCCUUAGUGAACCCCUUUGAGCCUAACAAGCCAUUAAUUGAUUUACCCUCAAUGUUAACCCAUAACACAUUAUUGUUGAAAUCCCCUAAUUUGAUCCCUAUUUUUGUCGAGAUUUGAUUUGAAUUAUUGCAUAGCUAUGUUUUAUUCUUCGUUGCAAUAAUUAGCAAAGUCCUAUGUUAUUUCACUUGUUUAUUUCACUUGUUCCUAAAAAAAAAUACAAUACUUACUUACAUAUUAAUAGUAAUUCGUCAUUUUUGAGCUUAAGUGUUAAUUCCAUAUUCUAAGAAGAAGCUCACUCGUAUUCAACUUAUAAUUAGUUGUUUUUCUAGUUAGGUGAUUUUUUUAAUUCAAUCUCGAUUCUAACCUUUCCUUUUAGCUUGUGACCACACCCCCUAACCAAAGCCACGUUACAACCCUCUAAAGACCUUUUGAUUGAUGUAUCAUCUCAAUAUAUAGUGGUGGAGAUUUGAUUUUCUGCAAGCCUAUGGUAAUAACUUUUCAUAUUGACUAAUGAGUGCUUCAUUUAUUAUCCUUAAACACCUCGAGUGAUUUGAGUGAAUCUUUAGUGAGGAUGUUAAACUCCGUGAUAUUUUGAAUCAAAGGUAAUCACUUAGAUGAGGGGAGACACCUAUGUUUUCGUGAUGAAAUGCUCAACUUGGAAUGUUUGAAACUUUGAUAUUCUUCUAGUUGAAUUCUCCAUGUAUGAUUACUUAUGAUUUAUUUUAAGAUAUUAUUGAUAGAGAUUAUAGAUUGAGAAGAAUUUAUUUUGAUUGUGAGUUGAGGAUUUUGCUUGAGGACAAGCAAACGCUUAAGUGUGAGAGUUUUUGAUAAACCGCAAUUUAUACAUAUUUUUAUCCCAUGCUUAGCACAUUUAUAUAUGAUUUCUCCUUAGAUUUGGUGAAUUUGAUGCACCAAAUCCUUUAAUUUCAUGUUUUAUACUUAGGUGACCAUAGCAGAGUAAAAAGAGCGAGAAACAGGUCGACAACGGAGAAAAAUAGACCCACAUGGGAAAUCGACACGGCCUGGACUUCCUCACACGGGUAAGCCACACGGCCAUGUCCAUUUGGCAGGAUCGGCGUACAAUUUACACAGGUAGACUACAUGCCCACGAUUAUUUAGCAACCUUCACCACGGUUUGGAGCAAUCGCACACGGGCGUGUCACACAGGCGUGUCCCUGUCGAGCCCAAGUAAAGUCCUAUUCGAAAAAGGCCACUUUUGAUGGCUCUUAGGCAUUCUAAAGCCUAUUUAAACACCUGAGGAGGCAGUUAGAACGGGGGGACACAGAGUAGGAAGCAAUGAAUUACUCGAAAAAAGCCGAUUGAUCCAUCUCAGAAGCUGGAUUAUUCAUCAAGACUGAAGAUCUCUCUUCAAUUUCCAUUCAAGAGUUUUGGGUUUUCUUUAUGUUUUGUAUUCAUUAUUCUUCUAAGGGGAAUGAAACUUAAGACGAAUCUUGUUAUUAUUAUCUAAAUUAUAAGAUAAAUAUUUGACUUGUUCUUAAUUAUGUAUUCUUAAUUCUUGUCUUAAUAUUUCAGGAUAUUGAUUCAGGUUAAUGCGCUUAUUCAGAGGAGCAAAAGUCCCUGUCUAAGAGUAAAUUUGUCAUAAUUAAGUGGAGUUGAUUGCACGCCUAGAGAUAGGGUGACAAGAUUUUACCAGAUUAUGGUGAAACCUAAUAAGGGAUCCAUAGAUCGAGUAAAUGCAACACUAGGGCGUUAAUUACAAAGAGAUUUCAAUUAAUCAACCUAGGGUUAGAUGUUAUUAGUCUCGAGAGAGAUAAUAAUAUAACUUAGGGAUUUCUACGAAUCAAGUUAAAUGAACAAAUCGCCUGAUUCAGAGUCAAAUAACAAGUGAAUCUAGGUGGAUUUUUCCUUGGGUAUUGUCUUUAUUAAUCGAAUUUUCUAAAAAGUAUUUUCCCAAUUUUUAGGCUAGAUAAUAAAAAGAAAGUAAUUACUAGUACUCUUGGUUCCUUUGGGUUCGACAAUUCGGUCUUGUUAAAGCUAUACUACUGUUCGAUAGGUACACUUGCCUUCAUCGUGAUAAUAGUUGGUUUUAAGAACGAUCAUUUAUAAAUUAUUUAAAACUUAUCGCAAAUAUCAUAAAUCAGUAGUCGUUUUACAUGGAUUUAUCUCAUUAAAUGAAUGUCUCAGAUGGUUGACUAUUUUUUUCAGUUUCAAAAAAUGGUCAAAACUCAGUUUGGGAAAGAUAUUAAAAAUUUUCAAAGUGAUUGGGGUGGUGAGUUUCGUGCCUUCGCAUCAACUCUUGCUAUUCAUGGGAUACUUCAUCACCUCUCCCGUCCACAUACAUCCGAGCAGAACGGUAUAGCCAAACCAAAACAUCAAGACAUUGUUGAGAUAGGUCUUACUCUCUUGACCCAAGCUAAUAUGCCCAUGGAUUUCUGGGGUUACGUGUUUUGCAGUGUCGUUUAUCUCAUUAAUCGUCCACCUACCUUGGUUUUGAAAGGUCAAUCUCCGUAUUAAGUUCUUCAUGGUAGUGACCCUACAUAUGAUCAUUUACGGGUGUUUGGGUGUUAUUUCUUUCCAUACUUGCGUCUGUUUCUGCAACAGAACUUGGAUUUUUGUUCUCAGCCUUGCACAUUUUUAGGGUAUAGUUCUCAACAUAAAGGCUAUCACUGCCUCACACCAGAUGGUAAGGCCAUUGUCUCUUAUCAUGUUGUGUUUGAUGAACGUCGAUUUCUCUUUUUUUUUAUGUUGCAAACACCGUCCAGUCAGGUCCAUGUAUCUCUACAUAUGUUCCUAUUGCUCAGUCUUCAUCUGCCGCGCCACGGCAUCCUCGCUUGUUCAGCCCAUUAAGUCCUCUUGACUCUUACUCCUAAUUGUAGUUCCAAGACGUCUAUUUCAGUUGACUCUCCGACUGAAUUGGGUUCUACUCAUGAGGUGCACCGGCUCUUCACCUCAUCUCCUGAAUCACGUCAAUGCGACUCUACUACAAUUCCCUCGGUUAUUCCAUCUAUUUUUCUAGAGAAUACUCAUAACAUGAUUACUCGGUCUAAGGCUAGUAUUUCUAAACCCAAAGCUUUCUCUGUUGAAACUGUCGACUAUGAGCCACACACGAUUGAUGAGGCACUCGCUAGUAAGGAAUGGCAAUUAGUUGUCCAAGCUGAGUUUGUUGCUCUAAUGGCUAACUCUACCUGGGAGCUUGUUCCCUUACUUCAUUGUCGAAAAGUGAUUGGGUGUAAGUGGCUUUUUAAAAUAAAAAAAAUCCUGAUGGGGCUAUCACUUGGCACAAGGCUCAGCUGGUAGCAAUGGGUUGUUCUUAGGUACCUGGGUGUGAUUUCAAAGAAACCUUUAGUCUAAUGGUUACACCUACUACUAUUAGAAAAAUAUUGUCUAUUUCUGUUUCCAAUGGGUGAAAACUUCGUCAAAUCGAUGUGAAUAAUACCUUUUAAGAUGGUGAUCUCACUGACGAAGUGUUUAUGCAACAACCUUCAGGCUAUGUUCAGAUUGGUCCAUAUCGUGAGCUAUUGGUGUGUCGUCUGAAAAAGGAGUUGUAUGGAUUACGACAAGCUCCACGUGCCUGGUUUGAUAAAUUGAAACAUUUUUUCUACCAGAUUUGUGUUAUCCAAAUCUGAUGCAUCCCUGUUUGUUCGAGUUACGUACGUAUCCACUAUUUAUGUUCUAAUCUAUGUGGAUGAUAUUACCGUUACUGAAAGUACGACUGACGGUAUAAAUGACUUUAUUCAACAGUUACAUAAUAAGUUUUCCCUUAAAGAUAUGGGAGAUCUUCACUACUUCUUAGGUAUUCAAGUCACUCGGUCAUCCACUAGAAGUCUUCAUUUGUGCCAACGCAAAUACAUCUAGGAUCUGCUUGACAGGAGUUCCUGGGCUAACGUGAAAAGUGUUCACACACUGAUGGUUAGUUCUUUUACAUUGUCUAAAGAUGAGAAAAAUCACCUCGUUGAUCCCACUAAAUAUAGGAGCCUUGCCGGAGCAUUACAAUAUGUGGUCUUAACUCGGCCUAAUAUUGCUUAUGCGGUAAAUCGUGUUUGUCAAUUCAUGCAUAUGCCUACUACGGUACAUUUGGUGGCUUUGAAAAUAAUCUUGCGCUAUUUACGUGGCACUAUUGAUCAUGGGUUAAUUUUUCGUCCGUUCGACAGAUUGUCUUUAGUUGGCUAUGCUGAUUCCAACUGGGGACUGGAUUUUGAUGAUCGUCAGUCAACCAUAGACUAUUGUGUGUAUUUUGGACAUACAUCCAUCUUUUUGUGUUCUAUGAACCAACAAGUUAUUUUUCACUCCACGGCUGAUGCGAAGUAUCGUAGUCUAGCAGUAGCUACCAGUGAUGUUACUUGGUUAGCCUCUCUGUUAACGAAUUUAAAAAUUUGUUCUGCAAAUCCACUUACUAUUUGGUGUGACAAAUCUAGUGCAAUAGUGGUUGCUGCUAAUCCGGUUUUACACUCCAAAUUUAAACAUGGCGAGCUUGAUCUAUUUUUUGUUCGCGAAAAUGUCACUAAUGGUUCUCUCAUUGUUGGCGAAGUUCCGGCAUGUGAUCAGGUUGCUAGUAUUCUCACAAAACCAUUGUCCAUCUCUACUUUUGCUAGGUUUCAUAGUCUGCCUCAAGUCUUACCUCUUGAGAAGCUGGAUGAAGCCGGGUGAAUAUUAGAGUAUAGACUCUAUUAGUCUGUUACCAUUUUGUUAUACAGGCUAGAAUAUUGUUAGUAACCAGUUAGCAGCAAUUAGUCAUAGCAGUUAGUCAUACAAGUAUAAAUUCUAUUUAUGUAUAGUUCAAAGGUAAGCUAAUAAUACCAGAAGAGAUUUAACGUGUUCAUUCUACUUUCUUUGUUAUUCUUCAUAAUACAGUUGUUAACAGGCUUGAUAUCAUCUCUUAGAGAAAACUAGGAGAGAUAAGAGUAAGAGUAUGAGCAAACUAUGGAUAAGGCUCUACCAUAAUACCUUAGAUGCAGUUAAAGUAAGAGUAAGAGCCAACUUGUUUGGCUUGAUAGCAUCCCCUUAUAGAAAAAGCUCUACCGCAUGGCAUUAGAGCAAUAAAAGUAACACUUAAUUUCUUGGUUGAUAGCAUCUCGUAGGGGAAAAAGGUUUACCAUGUGACAUGAAAGUAAUUAAAGUAAGAUUAAGAGCUAACUUGUUUGUCUUAAUCGCAUUGUUUAAGAGAGAUCCAAAUAAAUUUACUCAAAAUAUGUUAAUCAAAUAAUGCAAAUUACAAUGUUUUGUCAAUUUUUCCUUUAAUUGUAACUGGGUUAAAGUUGGUAGUUGUAACUGGUACUAAUAGAAUAGAUUUGGUAGAAAUGGUUGAAAGCAACAUAAGCAAAGAUGACUUUGAUGUCAUUGUAUUGACCACGUGGGAACUAUAGAAUGUAGAGAAUAGUAUGGUGAUUGGCAUCAGAAUGUUGCUAACUUUGAGGACAGUAGAUAAGGAUGGAUCCAAAGGGGCUGUGGGCGGCCCCCUUGAAAUUUUCAAAUUUUUGAAUUUAUAUAUAAAUUAUCAUGUAUUUUAGAUUUGGUGUCCACAUUGUAUAACAUUCACCCCCUUUGCCAAAUUGUAUUUCAUAUCAUUCGCCCCCUUAAACCAUAAGGUUAUACUUUAUAUUAACAAAGUAUUUUCCAUUUUUUUUAAUUAUAUAAAUUUAAUAAUAACAAUAAUAAUAAAAUAUUAAUGUAUGAUAGGCAUUGAAAGACUAAACUUAUAGGUCCAAUUUGGACUUUAAAGCCAAAUUCUAUAAUUAAUUAAUUGAUUUGGCUCAUACCUAUACAUAUUAGGUUAGCGACUUUCUUGUAUUUUGAUUUGUAUGUCUUCUUAAGGAAUUAUCUUCCUUUGGUAAAGUGUUGACACUACCAAGAGAAAAAGAAAGGAUUUUGAUGACGAGACUAAGAGUAUAGAGCAAAAAUAUACAAAUUAUCUUCCUCUUGGCUCCUUAUGCAAAAAACCUCUCGGUAAAUUUUUUGCAUAAAUUAUGUUCUUUAUUUAUUUGACUUAUUUUUUUUAUUUUUUCCUAAUAUAUUUUGUUUAAUAUAUUAUUAAAAUCAUCAGGUUUUUCGAUUAAAUAAUGGUCAAUAAAAAGAUCGAAUCUAUUUUUUUAAAAAAAAGGUGUCAGAAAGCAAUAGUGAUCAACCAGUUCCUUAACCUUCUGUUAUUCGUGAAGAAAAACCAAAUAUUGGAUAUUCCCAAGCUCCUGAAUGAAAUAUUAGGUCUUAUCAAGCCCAAACUUUUGAAUGCGAUAUGGAGUCUUCCCCAGUUCUUAAACUAGAUUGUUACACUCCUUACCUGAUCCGAUCACCAAAUCCAUGUAGAGAGUACCACAACUUAAACCAUAUGAAUUGAAUAAUAAAUAUUUGAAAUUUAUUAAAGUAUCGAGUUCUUGGUGUAACCCUCAGUAUAAUAAUAUGAAACAAUCAAAUCAAUGAUACGCCAGGAACAAACAUUUUUAGGAAAAACACAUGGCGGAAACCUUACAAAAGUUUAUAAGUUUAUAUGAAAUGUAAGAUGAGUUAAUCCCAUACAAUAGUUUCAAGUGCAUUUUUGGCAGUUAAAACAACACUCUAAAACUAUUUGGUGUAGAUGCCAAUGAGACAAUCAUGUGGAAUAAGAUAUAGUAGCAUAAACACAUACAUCACUUACCAUGUCAUUAUAACAUAUACUAACCACAUAAACAAAUUUCUCGAGCUGCGAACGAACAAGUUUACCCAAACAUCUGGGGUUGGUAGAUAGCUUAUCAGAAAAGCCCUCCAAAUCCUAGAGUUCACCAAAACCUGGAGUUCGCCAAAUAGAGAUUCCCAUAGAAUACGCCAAACACACAACCAAAAAACAAAUACUCUACUAACUUACUUAUUUUUUAUUCUUAGCAUAAACAACUAUGCGCCAAAAAGUAACUUGAUACAUUAUCCAUCAGGCGGGUUGUUACAAUUCUCCCUCACUUAGAAAAUUUUGUCCUCAAAAUUCUUAACGGUGAAUAACUGAGGAUAUUGUUCUUUUAUUGAACUCUCUCUUUCCCAAGUGGAUUCUUUUUUAUUGUGAUUUCUCCAUAAUACAUUAACAAAAGGAAUUCUUUUUCUUCUCAACUUUUUUACCUCCCUUGCUAAUGCGAACAGGUUCUUCUUCAUAGGAUAUGUUUGGCUCCUUUUCUAAUGCUUUGACUUGUACCACAUGAUCUGGUUUGGAUUGAUAUUUUCUUAACACGAACACAUUAAUCACAUUGUGUAUCUUUGAUAACUCUAGUGGCAACACCAAUCUGUAUGCCACUGGACCAACCAGUUCCAAAAUCUCAUAUGGUCCUACGAAAUGCAGACUUAAUUUCCCUUUUUAUUCUAACCUUAUGAUAUUCUUCCAAAGAGAAAACUUCAUAAAUACAUUGUCACCCACUUCGAAAGAGAUUUCUUUCCUUUUUAGAUCAACAUAAGCUUUCUGACGAUCUUAAGUUACUUUCAGAUGAUUUCAAAUAAUAGAGACUUUCUCUUCUGUUUCUUGUACUAAAUCAAAACCAACUAUUUUCCUUUCACUGAGUUCCAUCCAACAGGUGGGAGAUCUACGCUUUCUUCCAUACAAAGCUUCAAAUGGUGAUAUUUCUAGAUUGGCGUGAUGACUAUAAUUAUACACAAACUUUGGCAAAGAAAGAUAUCUUUCUCAAUUCAUUCUGAAAUCUAUAAUACAACUUCUGAGCAUGUCUUCCAAAACUUGAAUUACUCUUUCAAAUUGUUCACCUGAUUAGGGAUGAAAGGCAGUACUGAAUCAUAUCUUGGUUCCUAACGAUUCUUGUUGUUGUCUUCAAAAUCUUGAUGUAAACAUUAGGUCUCGAUCUAAAACUACGGAUGUUGGAAUCCCAUGAAGACAUACAACUUCAGAAACGCAGAGCUUAGCCAACUUUUCCAAUGAGUAAUUUGUGCGGGCAAACAAGAAAUAGACUGACUUAGUAAGUCGAUCUACAAUUGCGCAAACUGAAUUCUUCUUUGAAAGGCUGAAAGGGAGAGCCAAAACAAAAUCCAUGGUGAUGUUAUCCCACUUCCACUUAGGUAUCUCUAAAGGGUACAACUUGCCUAAGGGAACCUGAUGUUCUGUUUUAAUCCGCUGACAUGUCAAAGAAAUGGAGAUGUACUCUGUUAUUUCUUUCUUCAUUCCAGGUCACCAAUACAAACUUCUCAAAUUACGAUACAUUUUAUGUAAUGCUCUCAACCCGACUCGAUAUGUCGAGUUUGGAUCUCGGGUAUUACUAUACACAGUACUUAGUAAAAUAUCAAAAUAGCUGACAAAUACUCUUUACUAAAAACAUUUUCUUAUUAUUUUAACCGAAAGAGUAAAUAUUUAAUAACAAGGGUAAAUAUUAGAAAUAAAAUAAAUUAUUACAUCAGACUUGGUACAACUGAUUAUAGUAUAAAAUUUUGUUAAAGACAGACUCUUGGGGAAUAACCCUAAUCUAUGCCACUUUUCCACUAUAUACAUAAUAACCCACUUCAGCACUAUCUUGGCAUACUCCUAGCAUCGUCACUCCUAACGCAUUCUCUACCCAUACACCUAAAAACAACAACAUUAUAAGCUCAAGAGAACUUAGUGAAUUUUAUCCCAAAAAUACCUUGGCGAGUACUUUAAUUAUUUGACUAACAUCUGUGCGCCAUCUAUCUUUUUAAACCACCUUCUUCUGAAUCAGACGGAUACUAUUACAGAUUCGACUUUCACUUAUACGCCAGCUAUCAUACUCUUAACACACUCACUUAUUCUAGAACAGUUUUUCACAUAUAUUAAUCAUUGACAGAUACAUACAUUUUUGGUGAAUACUUACGCAGAUCUAAAUACCAUCAAACUACUAAUCAAAUCAUACAUUGAUUCGAUACCAUACAAACUCCCAUUGAUAAUGUACUACACAAUUUAUUCAAAUGAAUUUUCCACUACUUUGUUACAGGACCCCAGAAAAUCAUCAUAACAAUAACUCAAUUUCCAUAUGAUUUCAAAAAAGGAUAUAAUACAACCCAAAUAUGGCGAAUUCCAGACAACUCAGAUUCAACAACUGUAUAACAUAGACAAAAUCACAUUGAUAAUUUCUUAUGUCCCAAAUAACUAUGAAUACGUCCAUAUUCAAUACUAACAGAUAAUCAUGACGGAUACCCUUCUUAUACAUAUAUGCAUUUCUUUUCUAAAAAUCUCUUAAGACUUACUCAGUUAUAUCACAGAUCUUAUUCAACCUUUAACUUCAGACGUAUCAUAAACCUAUCAGAUCAAUAUCUGUCACAAAGAAAUUGGCAUUUACCCAGAUUUUACAAUAAAGGCAGAUAAUCAUAUUAUAGUAGACAAACUUAACUGAAAGUGCUACAAAGGCCAAACAAAAUAUGCCAUAAAGGCUUCAUACAAAAUCAUGUGUUUACUAUCUCGACGGAUGAUACAUGAUAUUCGUGACAGGUUUUAAAAAUUUAUAAUUAAUCGUUCUUUAAAUUAACUAUUAUCACGAUGAAGGCAAGUGUACCUCUCGAACAGUAAUAUAGCUUUAGCAAGACCGGAUGGUCGAACCCAAAGGAACCAAGAGUACUAGUAAUUGCUUUCUUUUUAUUAUCUAGCCUAAAAAUUAAGGGAUUUAUUUAUCUAAUUAAUUAACUAAACUAAGGGUGCACAGAAAGAAAAUUGGGGAAAAGCUUUUGGGAAAACUCGAUUGAUUAAGACAAUACCCAAGAAAAAAUCCACCUAGACUUCACUUAUUAUUUGACUCUAAAUCAGACGAUUUAUUCAUUUGACUUGAUCCGUAGAAAUCCCUAAGUUAUAUUAUUAUCUCUCUUGAGACUAAUAACGUCUAACCCUAGGCUGAUAAUUGAAAUCUCUUUCUAAUUAACACUCUAGUGUUGCAUUAACUCGAUCUAUGGACUCCCUUAUUAGGUUUCACCCUAAUCCAGUAAAAUCUUGUCACCCUAUCUCUAGGCGUGCAAUCAACUCCGCUUAAUUAUGAAAAAUUUACUCUUAGAUAAGGACUUUUGCUCCUCUAAAUAAGCACAUUAACUUGAAUCAAUAUCUUGGAAUACUAAAACAAGAAUUAAGAACACAUAAUUAAGAACAAGUCAAAUAUUUAUCAUACAAUUCAGAAAAUAAUAACAAGAUCCGUCUUAGGUUUCAUUCCCCUUAGGUAUUUUGAGGUUUUAGUUCAUAAUUAUGAAAGAAAACAUCUCAAAAGAAUAAUGAUAACAAAACAUAAAGAAAACCCAAAACUCCUGAAGGAAAUUGAAGGGAGAUCCUCAGUCUUGACGAUGAAUCCGGCUUUUGAAAUGGAUCAAUCGGCUUUCCUUGAGUAAUUCAUUGCCUCCUACUCCCUAUGUAUCUUCUAAGUGCCUCCUCAGGUGUUUAAAUAGGCUUUAUAAUGUCUAAAAGCCCUCAAGAGUGGCCUUUUCUGAAUAGGACUGAACUUGGGCUCGAUAGGGACACGCCCGUGUGACACGCUCGUGUGCAAUUGCUUCAGACCGUAGUCAAGGCUACUAAAUAGGCAUGGGCGUGUGGUCUACCCGUGUGAGGAAGUCCAGGCCGUGUUGAUUUCUGAUGUUGGUCCAUUUUCUUCAUUUUCAGCCCGUUUCUCGCUCUUUUUACUCUCUUAUGCUCACCAAAGUAUAAAACAUGAAAUUAAAGGAUUAGGAGCAUCGAAUUCACCAAAUCUAAGGAGAAUUCAUCCAAAAAUAUGCUAAGCAUGAGGUAAAAAUAUGUAUAAAUUAUGGUUUAUUAAAUACCCCCACACUUAAGCGUUUGCUUGUCCUCUAGCAAAAUCCUCAACUCAAAAUCAAAAUAAAUUCUUCUUAACUUGUAACCCCUAUCAAUAAUAUCUCAAAAUAAACCAUAAGUAAUCAUGUAUUGAGAAUUCAACUAGAAAAGCAUUAAAGUCUCAAACAUUCCAAGUCGAGCAUUUUAUCACGAAAACAUAGGUGUUUCCCCUCAUCUAAGUGAUUACCUUUGAUUCAAAAUAUCACAAAGUUUUAACAUCCUCACUAAAGAUUCACUCAAAUCACUCGAGGUGUUUAAGGAUAAUAAAUGAAGCACUCAUUAGUCAAUAUGAAAAGUUAUUACCAAAGGCUUGUAUGAAAGUCAAAUCUCCACCACUAUAAAUUGAGAUGAUACAUCAAUCAAAAGGUCUUUAGAGGGUUGUAAAGUGGCUUUUGUUAGGGGGUGUAGUCACAAGCUGAAAGAAAGGUUAGAAUCAAGAUUGAAUUGAAAAAUUACCUAACUAGAAAAAUAACUAGUCAUUACUUGAAUACAUGUAAACUUCUUCUCAAAAUAUGAAAUUGAACACUUAAGCUCGAAAACAACGAAUUACUACUAAUAUAUGUAUGUAUUAUAAUUUUUUUUAAGAACAAGUCAAAUAAUAUAGGUUAAUUAUCAAAAAUAAAACAUAGCUAAGUAAUUUAUUCAAAUUAAAUCUCGACAAAAAUUGGGAUCAACUUGAUUGAGGGGAUUUCAACAGUAAUAGGUUAUAGGUUAAUAUUGAGGGUAAAUCAAUGGAUAGUUUGUUAGGCUCAAAGGGGUUCACUAAGGACAAAUUAUGAAGGUAGGCUUUUGUGGAGUGAGUGGGUUAAACCUAAGUGCCUUUAUCAUCUCGACAUAUUAAAUCAAAUGGUGUGGUCUUGACAUGCAUAAUCAAGCAAGUUCUAGAAUAACAAAUCAAUACUGACGCACUCAUAAUAAAAGUGAGCAUGAAAGAAAUAAAAUAUGAUCUAAAAGCUUAAAAUCUCACAAAAAAUUAUGGCUUUUUGAUGUUGAACCUGUGAAUUUCAACUCAAGAUAAUACCUAAACUUGGGGAAACAACCUAAAAAUUUUAAAUACUCAAAAAUCAACUUAUCAUGUCUGAUUUUCUAAUUCCUUCAAAGUUUAAACGGUCAAUGCAUAAAUACCUAUGUUUUAAUUCAAGACAUAUCAAUAAAAAUCAUAAAUUAAUCAAAAUUCAUUCUAAUAAUGAUAUGAGAAGAUUAUUUGAGAACAAGACAAAAUUUAAGGAUUUUUUUGAUAAUGAUAUAAAGGCCCCCCACACUUAAGAUGUACAUUGCCCUCAAUGUACAAAGUUAGAUUUACAACGAUAUAGAUAUAAGAUCAUAAGAUAGGGAGAGAAGUGAAACUUCCUGAAUAAUGAAUGAACUCCUUGAAUUGGAGUUAUGGAGAAUAAUCGGCAAAGGCAAUGAUAAGAUUGGAGGAGGAUACUUCGGUGGUGGUAGAGGUUGGGUUCCACAACCUCAGUGUCCAGCGAAGAAGUUAUCGUGGUGGUCGAGCAAGACAUUACAGUUAUGGAGAACCUUUUCCAGUGGAGUUUCAAGUUUCUAAGUGAUGGUGAGCUUUGGGGCUCUUAGUAACUGUGAUAAAAUCAAGAACUCUUUAAGAAAUGUAAGGAAGCAUAAUUACACGUAAUGAAAUAGCUGAAACUAUAAAUUAUUCAAUAAAAAUUAUAAAACCUAAAAAUGAAAUAAUAUUAAAGGAAAAUAAAAUAAAAAGUACUUAAAAAUGUAAAUAAAAAUAAAAUAUAAAAAGUUUUUAAACAUCGUCAUCGCUGGAUGGUUCGCAAGGUGGUGGUGGUGAUGAGAUGUGAAGGUGCUGACAAAUCUGAUGUAGAGUAGCAUCAAUGUUAUCAAAGCGCUGAAAACACUAUUGCUCAAAUCAAUAAGGCACUCAGAGAUGUCAGAGUAUGAAAUCGCCGCAUGAACUGGACGAUAGAUGGGUUGUGGCUGAAAUGGUGGGUCCUCAUGACGUGGAGGGACAUCAUUAGUAAUUCCUCCGGGUCCUCCUCCUCGGCUGACUGGAUGAGGCGGUACUGAGCAGAAUCGAUUCCAUGUCAUUUCUCGAUCAUCCUCAUAUGUAGCAUGCUUGAAAUACCCUGUGGGGACAUCUGGCCGAUGAGAGUGAGCGAGAAUGAUUGUGCCACUGUGUUAAAGAGUCCAAAGUGCCGAAUCAAUCGAGUCACAUAGGGGCCAAUAGAGAUGACUCCCUUCCUAUGCCGUUCCGUCUGAUGGCGAAUGGCGAAGGCAAUGAAAUAGGCGAGGUCGAAGAUGUGCCCAUUCGCCAUGCUCCAUAAAAAGUAGGCAUCGUGAGUGUUGACAAUGCCGGUGCUCUCUUGUCUUCCUGUCAGAGUGUGGGCCAAGAGGGCGUGUAGGUACCUCAAGGAUGGAGGGAGAGUUGAUGUUUUGGAACGGUUAGGGUCGUAGGUGGCCGAGGGAGGGACGAGGGCCUCCAGCACUUCGAGUGAGAGUAAUGGAUGUGGCGAUGAAGGAUGUCGAGUUCGUUGUAGUCCAUGAACUCCUCCGUAUACAGCCCUAGUACAAUUUUGAACUCCGGUACGCUCAAUUGGCACACUAAACCACCAAGACGAAACUGGACCGUUGUAGGAUCGUCGAACUCUGUCAUAACGGUUUGGAAGUGAAAGGUCGAAUAGAGUUCCAGUGUGAGCUUAAGGUAUAUCGGCUUGAUGAUCCCAAAGAAGAGCUCCCAUGGAUCAGUCGACAGAAGGGCUCUGACCGCGUCAACCAGUUGGACUUGUUCAAGUGCGGCCCAUUCAAUGCAGCGGCCCACACCUAAGGGUCAGGCCCGAAGUAUCUAAAAGAGUUCUUCCUAAGGUCCUAAGGGAAACUAAAUAAAGGGGUGCCUGAUCUCCACGGUAGGACCCAAGGAUGACACUGCUCAUUUCCUUUUCUUUGAAGCGGGGACAGCGAUUUUCUUACCAUGGUUUGACAUGAUAUCUGCAAUGGCAAGACGAAAAAAAUAAUAAAUAAAAAAGUAAACUUACUCUCCAACAAUAACAUGAAAAAACAUAUGCAAUGCAUGUUAAAACUAAUAGAGAUACUUUAUAGGAGUCAUGUACUAAAGAACAACUACGCUGAAAAAUAACCCAAUCAGAUAUAUUAAGUCAUUACUACGAAUAGGAAUAUGAUAAUAAUGCCUAGUGAAUGAAUGCAUAUGGAAAUGAUGAUAUGGAAAAUAGAAUGAAGUCCAUGGCAACACAAGAAUGGUGGUAUCAUAAUGCAUCAACUAAGAUAGCAAGAAACAAAGAGCAUAAGCAAGGCUAUUAUUAGAACUAUGAAGAUUAACAGUCAAAAUAAAACAAGAAAAAUCGAAUUCAUAAACGAAAUGAAGAGAAAAGAAUGGACAAACGCAAAAGCUUGGUAGAGGGAGGAGCUUGGGCCGUCGUUAGUGGUGUUGUGGUUGGCGCACGGGCGUGGCAGGAAGGCGUGGGCAAGAGUUACGGCGGCUACAGUUAGGGAUUUUGGGGAAGGGGAUGAUGAAUAUAAGGGGUUUAUUCAACUCGUGUUUAUCGCGAUUUUUAAAUUUGGGCACGUCUGAAAUUCGUCCCACGCCGAUGUCCUUUGGGCGUGUUGGUGCACAUGGCCGUGUCGUACGGUCGUGUCCUACUUCGUUCACUUCUCCCACGCUCGUGUGUAUAAGCACACGCCCGUGUUGUUUGAUCAGUCUUGAGCACGGUUGGUGGGCACGGGCGUGUCGCACACUUGUGCUAAAUUCUCAGUUUCAACCACGAUUUCAAGACACGGGCGUGUCACACGCCCGUGUUGAUUUGAAAGACUCACCCACGGCCACGUUACACAGCCGUGGCAACUUAUCACAUCUCGUGUUAAGCAAAAAUUUUUCCCUGUUUCCACACGGUCGUGUCGCAAGGCCGUGUCUCCUCCCGUAGUGUGAGCACGGCCUAAGGCACACCUGUGUGCCUCACCGUGUGAAUUAGAAAACCAGUAUUUCAAUGACUCAGUUAGUGAUUAGAUGUUAAAAACUAAAAUUUUAAAGAAGGUAACACUAUUAGUGCUCGGGUUACCUCGCGAAAAGCAUUUAUUUAUAGUCUAAGCUCGACUUACCUCUCUGUUGCAUAGUCAUGGUAGUGCAAGGAGUUUACACUCCUCAUCCCUGCUAUCAAUUUUAUCAAAAUAAGGUUUUAGACAAGUACUAUUUACCUUAAACGUACCGAAUUUGGGAUGAAUUACCUCGACUGUGCCGUAUGGGAAAAUACUAAGUACCGUAAGAGGGAUUUCUCCAUUAGGUUCAAAGGUGGCAAUCCGAAGGUCUGCUGCAUCUAAUAGUACUUUGUUUCCAACCUUAAGUUGAGUUGGAGAAAUAUUGAGCUCGUCAUGGCAUGGUUUUUUUUAUCGUGUGAUUUCGAUUUCUGUGUCUGCCAUUCAUCUAGUUCCUCAACCUGUAGCCUUGUUCUUCAUAGAUGGGUUCUUUGUCGUUAUUUGAAUGUGGCUCAAGUGUGUUUCUCGAAUGUGUUUCCUGCACAGAGGGUUUCACCACAUGAUCAGUACUGAUAGAAUUUCGAGCUUGAGGAGUAAUUGAUUCAUCACCCAUACGAAGUGUGAGUUUACUUGUGCCAACAUCAAUUAUAGUUUUAGCAGUUGCUAGAAAGGACCGUCUUAAAAUUAAAGGUGCGUCGCUAUCCUCUUCUAUGUCUAGAACAACAAAAUCAAUUGGGAAAAUAAAUUUAUCGAUUUUUACCAAUACAUCUUCAAUGAUACCCCUGGGAAAUCUAAUAGUUUUAUCAGCUAACUGAAUACUCAUCCUAGUUUGUUUAGGUUUCCCAAUACCUAGUUGUUUAAACAUUUUAUAAGGCAUGAAAUUGAUACUAGCCCCUAAAUCAGCCAAAGCGUUAUUAACAUCUAAGCUACCAAUUAAAUAAGGAAUCGUAAAACUCCUUGGAUCUUUCAAUUUGUUGGCCAUGAUGUCUCGUUGAGAGCACCAAAAAUAUCCUAUUCUCUGUAAAAUAGUAAAAAUAACAGUAAAAGGGAAGUAGGGUCGAAUCCUCAGGGACCGGAUUGUACAAAUGCUCGUUUCUUGAAAUCCUGGACAAUUUCUUGGCCAAGAAAACCUGCGUUCCUGAAAAAUAAAAAAAAUAAAAUUAAGAAUCUGGAAAAAAAAAUAGAAUUUAAAGGGAAUUGAAAUUGCGAAAUUAAAUAAAUUGUCGAAAUUAAAAUGAGGAAAAAUAAAUAGAGUUGGGAAAAGAGAAAGUUUCUUAUGUGGCGAGAUUCCAGGCUCCGGUUGUCUCGUUCCGCCUUGGGUUCAAUCCUUGGCCUUUAAGUAACCCUUCCCAACUCAAGUAAGCCAGUUAUAGUGGAAGAGGAUGCCUACGACCACCAGCUCCAAAGAUUAGACUUACGAUUUUUAGGGAACCUGACUCUAACCAGUAAUCUAUGCUAGAUCAACGCUUCUCAAUGGCGAAUCCCAAGUCAUUUUGUCUCUUUGGCUCGCCAACCUUUGACGCAGUAAAUUAACAAACCGACUGUGCAAUCCUUUCAAAACAUACAAAGCGGUCGCCUUUGCAUAUGCUGAAAAGCUUACUUCUUAAGGGCCAUGGACGGAAGCGUCAGCCCGUAGUGCGGAGAAACGAUGAAUACUUGGCGAGAAGGCUAAGUACGGGUUCUAGGCCUCAAAAACCCUUUUUUGGGGAAUAUUGACAACCUUCAGCUAGAUAGGUUUUAAUGGCUCAUGAUAAUGGUGGAAAAGGAAAUAAAUAUAAAAAUAGAAAAUAAAAUUUUAUUCAAAGAAAAUAUGAAGAAACAAAAGCCUAGACUUUUAGGGGGAGAGUGUUUAUAGAAAAAGAUGAACACCCCAAAUAGAGUCACUUCACCCCCUAUUUAUAGUGCUAGGGAGAUAAUCUAAUUUAACUUAAAUUCUAAAAAGAUAAAUACAUUUAAUUAAAGAUAAUUAAAAUAAAAUCCUAAAAUUAAAUAAUCCUAAUAAUUAUCUUAAUAAUAAUUAUUCUAAUAUAAAUAAAAUGGAGUCUUAUAAAAUAAAAUCUCUUCUUUUUGAGUUUUCAGUCCUUGUGUCAUCCAUGCUCGCACUUUUGGAACAAUCUUUUUCCUGUGUCGCAUAUCAGCCCAUUGUGUCUCCAAAUUCGCACUUUUGUCCCUUAAUUUUUCUUUUUGCCUCCAAAUCAGUCCUUUAAAGAUAAAAAGACAUAAAUAGCUAAAAUUAGUAUGAUCAAGCUCAGAAUAAAUAUAUAAUUAGCACAUAAAAACAUGACAUUCUAGAGUGUUAUCAGGCCAGCUUAUUUUGCAGAAUGGCUGAGCAAACUGCAUUCAUCUCCACAUGCGAUGCCUCAUCUAACUUCCGUUUAUUCGCUAAAAGCUCCUUUAAAAAUUUGACUGUGUUCAGCAUCUACGAAAAAGCUUCAAUAAACGGUAAGUUAAUAUGUAAUUUCUUUAAAAUUUUAAGGAAUUUACCGAAUUGUUCGUCUGAGUGGUCUUUCCUUGUCGUAUUUGGGUAUAGUACACGUGGUUUGUACUCUUUACUUACCUGUUUUUGCUCAUUAUGGUCCACCUUACCUCUACCUUUACUUACCACAAUUUCUUGCCUUAGUUCUGGUUGAGGUGCAACUAACCCUUCCUCAUCUUGAAUGGUAAUCGCAUUGAGCUAUUCCCUUGGAUUAGAUUUAGUGUUACUCAACAGGCUACCUUGUGGUCGUUCAGAUACCAAUUUAGCAAGCUGGCUUAUCUGAGUUUUGAGCCCUUGAAUCGACACUUGUUGAUUCUUAAGUGCUUUCUUGGUAUUCUAAAAACAAGUUUCUAACACUGAGAUGAAUUUUGUUAGCAUCUCCUCAAGGUUCAGCUUUUUCUCUUGUUGGUAAGGUGGUUGUUGGAAGCCUGGAGGUGGUGGGGGUCUCUGAUUUCCUUGGCCUCCCCAUGAAAAAUUUGGAUGGUUCCUCCAACCUGCAUUUUAAGUGUUACUAUAAGGAUUAUUUUAAGAUCGAGGAUUAUUACCCAUGUAAUUCAACUGCUCAUUUUCCAUACUGUGGCCAUAAGGUGGGUAUUCUGAAUUGCUUGAUCCACCUCUACUUGCUUCGCACUGCAUUACUAGGUGAACCUGUGAAUAACCAAAUAACCCGUCAAUUUUCUUAUUUAAUAGUUCUACCUGACUAGAGAGCAUCAUGACUAAAUCAACGUUAAAAACGUCAGUUGUUUUAGUCGGCUUUGUCCUCAUUACUUGCCACUGAUAAUUAUUCAGUGAGAUCUCUUCUAUAAAUUCAUAAGCAUCUUCAGAUGUCCUAUUAUUGAUAGUCCCACCAGCGGAUGCAUCGAUAAGUUGCCUUGUUGAGGGGUUUACACCGUUGUAAAACGUCUGAACUUGCUGCCAUAGAGGCAACCCAUGAUGAGGGCACCUUCUCAACAGAUCUUUGUAUCUCUCCCAUGCAUCAUAAAGCGUUUUUAGAUUCAUCUGCAUAAAAGAAGAGAUAUCACUACGUAAUUUAGUCAUUUUAGCCGACGGAAAAUAUUUUAAUAAGAAUUUUUUAUUGUCAUUUGUUCCCAAGUAGUGAUUGACACUCGUGGUAACGAGUUCAACCACUGUUUAGAUUUGUUCCUCAAUGAAAAGGGAAAUAACCGAAGACGAAUGGAAUCAUCAGAAAUGCCAUUAAUUUUAAAUGUGUCGCAAAACUCUAGAAAAUUUGCCAAGUGAUUGUUCCUCAUCCUGCAAACUAUCAAACUAAACAAAUUGUUGUAUCAUUUGAAUUGUGUUAGGUUUUAGUUCAAAAUUAUUUGCAGCAACAGCUGGCCUAACUAUACUUGACUCAGUUCCUCUUAAAGUAGGUUUAGCAUAAUCAUACAUAGUACGCGGAGUAGGAUUCUGAUUAGCAGCAAUCGCAAGAGGUAGCGGAUUUUCCUGAUUUUCAGUCAUCUCCUCAGUUGUGGUGGAAAUAUCGUCCUCUUGCUCUUUCUCUGUGUAUCUUAGGCUUUGCCUUAUUUCUCUUCGAUUUCUGUGAGCUGUGCGAUCGAUCUCACUAUCAAAAAGUAAUGGUCCUGACGGGUUUCUUCUAGUCAUGCACUAUAAAAACUUGCCAUAAGCGAAUAAACGAAAAAUAAGAAUAAGAAAAUAAAAUAAAAAUUCAAAUUGCAACAAAAGUAAAAUGGCUAAAGUAAUAAAAAUUGAGUGUUCCUAAUAUCUUCGUUCCCCGGCAACAGCGCCAAAAACUUGAUACGUGAUAUUCGCGACAGGUUUUAAAAAUUUAUAAUUAAUCAUUCUUGAAACUAACUAUUAUCACGAUGAAGCCAAAUGUACCUAUCGAACAGCAAUAUAGCUUUAGCAAGACCGGAUUGUCAAACCUAAAGGAACCAAGAGUAUUAGUAAUUGCUUUCUUUUUAUUAUCUAGCCUAAAAAUUAAGGGAUUUGUUUAUCUAACUAAUUAACUAAACUAAGGGUGCACAGAAAGAAAAUUGGGGAAAAGCUUUUGGGAAAACUCAAUUGAUUAAGACAAUACCCAAGGAAAAAUCCACCUAGACUUCACUUGUUAUUUGACUCUGAAUCAGACGAUUUAUUCAUUUGACUUGAUCCGUAGAAAUCCCUAAGUUAUAUUAUUAUCUCUCUCGAGACUGAUAACGUCUAACCCUAGGUUGAUUAAUUGAAAUCUCUUUCUAAUUAACACCCUAGUGUUGCAUUAACUCGAUCUAUGGACUCCCUUAUUAGGUUUCACCCUAAUCCGGCAAAAUCUUGUCACCCUAUCUCUAAGCGUGCAAUCAACUCCGCUUAAUUAUGAAAAAUUUACUCUUAGACAGGGACUUUUGCUCCUCUGAAUAAGGGCAUUAACUUGAAUCAAUAUCUUGGAAGAUUAAACCAAGAAUUAAGAACACAUAAUUAAGAAUAAGUCAAAUAUUUAUCAUACAAUUCAGAUAAUAAUAACAAGAUCCGUCUUAGGUUUCAUUCCCCUUAGGUAUUUAGGGGUUUUAGUUCAUAAUUAUGAAAGAAAACAUCUCAAAAGAAAAAUGAUAACAAAAUAUAAAGAAAACCCAAAACUCCUGAAGGAAAUUGAAGGAGAUCCUCAGUCUUGACGAAUAAUCCAGAUUUUGAGAUGGAUCAAUUGGCUUUGCUUGAGUAAUUCAUUGCCUCCUACUCCCUGUGUGUCUUCUAAGUGCCUCCCCAGGUGUUUAAAUAGGCUUUAGAAUGCCUAAAAGCCCUCAAGAGUGGCCUUUUUCGAAUAAUACUGAACUUGGGCUCGACAGGGACACGCUUGUGUGACACGCCCGUGUGCGAUUGCUUCAGACCAUGGUCAAGGCUGUUAAAUAGGCACGGGCGUAUGGUCUAUCUGUGUGAGGAAGUCCAGGCCUUGUUAAUUUCCCAUGUUGGUCUAUUUUCUUCGUUUUCGGCCCAUUUCUUAUGCUCACCUAAGUAUAAAACAUGAAAUUAAAGGAUUAGGAGUAUCGAAUUCACCAAAUCUAAUGAUAAUUCAUCCAAAAAUAUGCUAAGCAUGAGGUAAGAAUAUGUAUAAAUUAUGGUUUAUCAAUGGACUAUCACAGAAGGUGUCAUAGGUUUCUCCAACAUGGGCUUAUACAUAAUUUCAUGUAUUGUGAUCUGCCAUUUCAAAUUAUACAUUAUCGAAGGCUACACCAUAAGCAUAUAUACAGACAUAUCUUGCAAUGGGUCUUAGCCAUAUAGCUUACACACACAUUCAUGUAUUGUAAUCUGCCAAUCCAAUCUUCAUCUUAUUAGAGGCUACACCAUGAGUGUUUCCAAAUCAAAGUAAGAUGUCAUGGGUCUCAACCUUAUAGUUUAUUCUUGUUUUCGUAUCGUGAUCUGCCAGUCUAGUUAGCAAUAUAACUGCCCUACCAGAGGCAUCAUAGAGGAAAAUUUGCUCAGCAUUUACUUCCCUAGAUGAUCACCUUUUUACUAGCUCAUACAUCUCCUACAUCAGACCUUACCUGCAUGCUUACCAAACAUUAUUCUUUUUAAUAGAAUUUAUACAUAUCAUCGUAGCACAUCUUUCAUCUUUGCUAAACUCAUAUUUAUACUAAUUUCUGUAGACAUCAUCAUCACAUAUAUAUAUGCUUCUUGUUUGAACAGUUCAUAUCAAAAAGUCAGGAUAGAGACCCACUUAACUCUCAUCUAUUGCAGUUCAAAGUUCUGGACUCAACCACCCUUCUCAAACCAACAGUAAAAACUGCUUACAAAACAUAGAAUCACCAUUAAAACUCAUUUACAUACAAAUUACCAUCAUCUUAAUCACUUUUCCGCUGCUAAUUAAUAAAUAAAUGUUGAGUAGUAAAUAAAUAAAAAAUUAACUAAGUUUUCAAAAAAAAAAAGUCACUGUGAUGAGAAGAAUAAGUUUUCAAAAACAAAAGUCACCGUGAUGAGAAGAAUGUCAAAAUUAAUUGGUUUUUGUUAACUCAUAUGUUUUUCUAAAAAUAGGUUAAGUUUUCUUCUGAAAUAAACAAAUAUUUUGAAAUGAUUGUUUUAUAAACUCCAAUCAUAGGCCAUCUUAGUGGUCGAUGUAAUCUCCCAAAUUCGGUUCUAACAUCUAGGUUGGGUUGGAGAGGUUACAAUAUAUAUAGAAGGAUUCAUCAAUAAUGGAAACUUGAAUACAAGCAAAGAAAGAAAUCAAUCAAUGUGAAUUACUAACAAGUUCAAAAGCAUAUAUUUGGAUUAUAUUUUGUAAAGUACAAGAAUGUCAAGGAAUUAGACAUUUUGUUUUGAUAGUGAUUAUAUUUUAUAUAUAUUUACUUUUAUGCACUUUCAUAUUGAGUUGAUCAACAGUUUUGAAACUUUAUAGAAAACUUCAAGGUAUCACUUGUUGCGUAAGUGAUAUUUUACUAAGGGUGCAUAAUUGGAGGCCUCCUAGAUAUGUGAAAAUAAUGUUUAAAAAUCCAUCAAAUAGUAAAAACAUAAAUGAAAUAGCAUAUUGAUAUAUAUGGUAUCUUGAGUGUUGAAUUAAACAUUCUUUAGUAAAAGAAUGUACAUUUUGCACAUUGUGGGUGUGUUGGUUUCUUAUAUAUCAAUUAAGCACAAAUUAAAGAAAAAUAAUAUAUAUCACCAUAGUGUUGUAAUAUUUUGUAAAAUUUGUAAAAUUAUAUAAGCAAAAAAGUUUACCUAUCUCGUUAAAUAAAACUCAUUGAGUUGGUUCUUAAUAUUGAAGAAUUAGAGUGGUUGACUUCUUUAUUCAUUUUAUCCAACUACAAGUUGGAUUAAAGUUGUGGAAAUAGAAUGGUUGAAAAUUUGUGUUAAUGAGAAUUAAAGUUGUGGCCACAACUGAUGCCGACUAUUUUCUAGAAACAGGGACUGAUGUCCAAAACAUGUAGUAAAAUAAAAUUUUAGACAUGUUAGCAUAUGAAUUUAUUAUAUUAUAGAUUCAAUGUAACACCCCUAUCCUAUCUCUGUUGCUGGAUUAGGAUUUCAGACUAUUACUAAGAAAAAUAGAACAUUUAACUUUCCAACAGAAACAAUUAUACAAUUAAAUACCAACAUAUAUCAAUUAAAUCUAAUCAUGGCAAAUAUUACACUUAUAGACCUUGAAUCGAGCCUAUGGAGCCCUAGAAAAAAUUUAGGAACAAUUUGGGAUCAAAUCGAAACAAAUCAAAACAUUUUGAAAAAAAUAUAAAAAUUUGGGAAAACAGGGGUCACACGGUUGUAUGGCCAAGUCGUGUGACAAAGCCUACACCGCGUAAACAUUAGAAGUCAAAACACUCAACUGUGUCCCAGCCUGUGUGUCUACUCAUGUGUAUAAUCGAAAUAGGGUCACACAGCUGUGCUGCAGACUGUAAACCGUGUGUGUAUUCGAAGUUAGGUCACACGACCAUGUGACCGACCGUGCCACAAACUGUUUUGAGACACACGGUCGUGUCACAGACCAUGUGAAAUAUGCACCUAAAAUAAUAAAUAUACACGACCAUGUGUGGUGACUAUGUGUGGCACAUGGUCGUGUGGUAGCUUGUGUCUCAGGCUGUGUGCUCCAUUUUUAACCCCUAAAUUAAGUUAAUCAAGCAUCAUUUCUUGCACAGCAAGACAUACCAUAUCUAACUAAUUUUACAUGGUAAAAAUCACAUUCAGAUCACCAAAUACAUACCAAAAUUUCAUUCAUCCUAUGUCUAACCAAUAUACCAUCAAAAGGCAUCUCAAUCCAUACAUUCAUUCAACUCAAGAACAAAGUUACAAUAAAGGAACAAGUUUUAUCAUUAGUUAACCAUUCAUGCCUAAAACCACCAAUCUAAUUGACGAAAAUAUGGGCAUACUCAACAAGCAACCAUUUCAAAACAUCAUCACCAAAUCUUUAUAUACCAUUUAGGAUCAACUUAAUUAUAUCCAACACAAGUACACAUCCAAAACAAAGCACAUCACUAGAAAUACCAAAAUAACUUAACGAUUUACACAUCAACAAUAAGACACCACAUCCCAAAAUGAAAUACAAAAGCUACCGAGAUGGCUGGAUAGUGUGUGCUCCAAAACAAUUCGUCUAGUCAGUCCAUAAAACGCCAACUCAACCAAUAUAGAUAAACAAAAAAGAUAAGUUCUAAUUCUUGAUAUUCAAAUGCAAGAUCACACCACAUUAGUAUAUAUUUAUUUACAUCAUAAAUGAUACCUUCCAAAAGUCAUAACCAAUUCAUCAUCCAAAAUUUCUCAAUACAACCAUUAACAUUUAUAAAACAAAAACUUCAUAGAAACAUUUAUCAUUUAGUAGUAAUAUAACUAUCCAACAAAAUUGAACAAAUAAAUGAGUUUUAAGUCAUUUGAUGCAUAUCCCGCUGAACUAUAGUAACUAGACUCGGAUACUCAAUGAUGCAUAACAGAGGCACCAAAGUGCAAACAGAGGAAGGAAUAUGCAAUCAAAGGCAUUGAAGUGCAAACAAAUGCACCAAAGUGCAAACCCGUACAAGCGCACAUUAAAACCCUAUUGGCAUACUAAUCGUAUCCUAAUCAUUUACUAUGUUCAAUGGGGCAUUAAGAAUGGGGCAUUAUACUUAAAAUCGCAAUACCAAUAAAUCCAUCAUUUAGAGGCACUUCUUAUUUCCGUACACAUAAUAACAAUAAUUACCAUCAUCAAACAUUCAUUUUAUAUUUGUACUUAAUUACAAAUUUUAAUAAUAUAUAAGUAACUAAUGAAAUUUCCCAUAUAUACCAUUAACUAGAAAAAAAUAAUAUAAUCAUAAAGAGAUACACAUAUACAUAUUAUUACAUUAUGAACUUACCUGCAAUCCACUUCCAAAUAAUAUACAGGGACUACUCCGCAAUUUUUCUCUUUCCUCGAUUAUUGUCUUUUUGACUCGGUUCUUGAUCUAUAUAAUAAUUAAAUUUAAUUUAUUAAAUUUACAUAAUUUAAAAAUCAAUUCAAUGCAUGACACCCUUAUGUUUUCAUUAUUUUCACAUUUUCCUUAAACUUUUACAUUUCUCACAAUUUAGUCCCUAAACCCGAAAUUCCAAAAUUUAACAAAAUUUUACAAUUUUCCAUGCUAGCCGAACUUCUUUCUAAACUAGUACAAUCCCCAAUUAUUUACAAUUCACAAAAUUUCUAUGCAAAUUUUAAUUAUUUACACAUUGAUCAUUAAACUCAAAAUUAACACAAAUUCUUUUACAAAAAUAUCCUAAUCAACAUUCAAAUAUAUACAACUACCAUUAAAAAUCAUGAACACCAAAAUUCCAUUACUAACCAAUCCCUAAAACUUCAACAUUUUUAUAAUUUCAUCCUCAGGUUUAAUAGUUUAAGCUACAACGAGUUCAAAAAAUAUAAAAAUUAUUAAAUAUGUGAGAGAGAAACACUUACAUGCACCAAUUUGCUAACCGAAACUUUAAGCUCAAAAAAUGGAGUUUCUUUUUUUCUUUUUCUUUUUUGGUAGGAGAGAGUUGAGAAGAUGAUGAUACCAUAUUUUAUCUUUUGUUUCUUUUCUUUAAUUAAACUAAUUACCAAAUUAACCUUUUAAUCUGAACUAAAUUAUUAACAUAACAUGACCAUAAUUUUCCAUUAACUAACCAUAAGGUUUAUCUAUCAAUCAAGUCCAUUAUUUUAGUUUUUCUUUAAAAAUCAAGCACAUUUAACUAAUAAAAGCUACUUUAGCAUAUUUUACAAUUUAGUCUUUUUUACUAAAUUAACUAACUAGACAUUAAAAUUUCUUAUCCAAAUUUUAAUACGACUCAAAUAUAACUCUAUAAACAUAAAAUAAACAUAAAAUACUAACUCACUUGUUGGAAUUAUGGUCCUGAAAUAACCAUUUUCGAUACUACUGAAAAAUGGGAUAUUACAUUCAAUCUCUAAUUUAUGCUAAUGAAUGUGAGAGAAUAAUUUUCUUUGUAUAGUAAUACUACAACUAGAAUGUGUUUCGAUCCUAUUCUUAGAAACUGAUAGUAGAAACCCAACUUUUAAUUAGAAACCUCUUGUUUUAAAGUUCAAUGGGUAAAAGCAAGUUAUCGUUAUAUGUCUGUGAUACACUAGUAAAACUCAUUAUAGAAAAAAAAAGUUUAAUGGAAACUAGUGUUAUCCAUUGCGUAUAGAGGAUGAAUUUGAAUACUAUUAAUGAAGUUCAUUGUUUAUUGUUUAAAUGUCUAAAGCAAGGGAAACAUUAAAAGAACUCUACCUAUAUAAACAUAAGAAGUGAUGCCACUUCAACAAGUAAAGGUAGGGUCUCUCUUGUAAAUGUUUAUUAUGAACAAGAUAAGCACAUGAUCAUUUUAGUGCUAAAAGUGAACAACCUCUGAUAGAAAUAUAAAUGAAUAUUAUGUGUAGUGUAUUUCAACUUCUAAUACUAGGAGUUGUGGUUCAAUCUUCGGACACCAACGACUUAUUAGAACUUUGAAAAGCAUCCGCUAAUUGAUGGUUCAUAUUGAGAGAUAUCAUCUUAUAUGCAUAAUAUUUGUUGGAGUGAAUGGCUAUAAAGUAUGGUACCAACAUUUAAACUAAGGGUGAUUGUUAGUAGUUUAUAAUGUUGGCAGUAAAAAUAUUUUAUUAUGUAGAAAAGUCUAAUAACUUAUAAUUAUUGGCCAAAUAAUUGUGUUGUAAAGAGAAUUUUUGUAUGUAAAGUUGUCUUAUAAACUUUAUGUAAAGUUGUGUUGUAAAACAACACAAUUAUAUGAAAAGGUAUCUUAUUAAAAGAUAUAUUCAUAUUAAAGGGUAUCUCAUAAAAGAUACAUCUAUUGGAUGUCUAUAUAAAAGACUUUUCUAUUAGUCAUUUAAAUUGUUUUACUUGGAGUGUUGAGGCCUUUAUUGUAUCUUGAAGGUAUUUUAAAAUCUUAAAGAAAGUGCUCUACAUGCCUCAAAGUCGUUAUAUUUUAUAACAUUAUUUUAUUUUUCUAACUUCUAUUUUCCUAUUAUUUAUUUUUCUAACAGCCAGAAUAUAGAAAAAUUAUUAUGUUUCUAACUAUAUAUUAAAUACGAGUACUACUUGGAAGCCAGCACCCACAAACAUGAUAAAAGUUAAUUUUGAUGAGAGUUUUGACGUGGAAGCAAGAAAUGAGGAAGAGGGUAGUUAUGCAGCAUUGUGAUGGUUUUUUAGUCCGACUACGCAACCAUCCAAUUUAGGGUGCGUUCUACAUUAAGGUGAAAAAGCACUUAAAAAGAACAUUUGGUUUUUACACUUAAAAGUGUGAUGGAAAAAUACUUUUUCAUUCAAAUACAAAAAUUAAGAUAUAAAUGCUUUUGACUUUUAGCUUUUACAUUAGAAUGUGAAAAUUAUCAAAUACUAUUAUUUAUAUUAACUAUUUAAAGUGUAUAUAAAAAUUAGAUUAAUUUAUAUUUUAUAUAUCAUUAUAUUAAAUUAUUUAAAUAUUAUUUAUUAUUAUAUCUUUUAAUAAUUUAUAUAUCAUCUAUUUUACAAAUAAUUUAUAUUAAUUACUUCAAAAAUAUUUGGAACUUAUAUUUCAUGUACCAUUAUAUUAAAUUAUUUAAAUAUUACAUAACUUAAAAUGUCCUUUUCUUUAGACAUGAUAGACUUUUAACGGGAAUUUUUUGUAGUAACGGAGAACACCAAAAACUAAUGAGUACAUUUUUUCAUAGCACUUUUCUACCACUUUUCAACUACAACGGUAAUGGAGAACUAAUCCUUACUAAAGUUACCGAAGCACUAGCUUCCACUGUAGCCAUUGAAAUGGGGCUCCAAUUGGGAUUGCAACACAUUAUUAUUAAAAGAGAUGCUCUCUAAGUGGUUUCGAAGUUGAAGGAAGACAAAGAAGACCUACCAACAAUCGGACCUUGAUAGCAAAGAGUUGAAUACUUGCUAAACAGGUUCAGCAAUGUAGGUUUCAACAAAGAAAGAGGCAUGCUAAUGAGGUGGCACAUCAUCUGGCCAAACAGGGUGCAAUGCCCAAUUUCUGCCCGGGCCUAAUCAAAACAGCCCAAAGCAGAAAGCCCAAUUUUUCUAGACCUAGCCCACAACUAUUUUCAGCACCACCAUGCACCCAUUUUCUCCACCACUCUUCCACUCCAGAACACCCACGAACGGUUUCCCUCCAUGCCAUACAUACCUGCAAAAUAGAUUAAUGACUCAUAGCAGUUGACAGUAGAAAGAAAUAACAACAGGAAACGGUUUUGUACUUGGCUAUAAAGCCUUUGAAUUUUUCAUUGUUUGGUUUUUUUUUCUUUCUUUUUUUUUUCAGAGAGAUUGUACACGAAAUACAUACAAAAAUCAAUAGAAAGCAAUUCAAAGGUGAUUUAUCGCUAUUUAUUGUGUUUUUUUUUUCAAUUGGGUUUACAUACAAGUAUAAAAUAUAAGAGAGAACGAGAGGCUUACCGGAGUUAUAUCGCAUUCACGCCGUCGGUAGGACUAGCUCCGUUGGUCACGAACAGAUUUUGGGAGUGGUUGGGGGCUUGAAAGGAGCCUUUCGGCUGGAGAAUAAAGGGAGAGUGAGGGAGAUGAUAUAAUAUCCAAGGCAUUUAGGGUUUUUUUUUUUAAAUAAAAGUUAAAAAGUUUUCUUUUAAGCACAAUUUUUAAAGCGGGUUUUAGGUGAUAAGAAUGAAACAGCAUGGGGAAGGGAAAGGAAUAGCGUGUUUAACUUGGUCCACGUGCAUUUACCCCUUAAAUGGGUAAUUUUCGUUAUCAGUCCUCCUUACUUGCGUCACCCUUUAUUUGAUCCUAUUCUGUUUCUUUUAUUUUUGCCUUGAAUUUUGCGCACCGUUCCAAUUUAGUCCGAGCAUGAGUGUUGCUUUUUUGGGGUUGGGAACAUUUUCAAUUUUAGCCCUUAUACAUUCACGCGCAUUGCGCUUUGGUCCCUAUUUCAAUUUCAAUGGUUUUUUUAUUUGUUAAUUGUCCCUUUAAUUUUGCUUUUCUUCCAAUUAAGUUUUUAUUUAUUUUUUCCAUAAAAUAAGAAUAUAUUAUUUUAACAUAUAGUUUUGUUCAACAAAAUUCAUAUAUAUUUUUGUAUAUAUUAUUUUAACAAAAUAAGAAUAUAUUGUUUUCUUCAUAUGCAUAUUUAUUUGUUUUUUCUUCCAAAAUAAUUUCAUAUAUCAUUUUGUAUUUAUAUACUUUACUUAUAUUAAGUUUGCUUUAUAUCAUGUAUAUACGUAACUUAUACUAAGUUAUCUUUACUCUAAGUGUACAUUAUUGACUUCCUUUUAUUUUAUGUAAAUAUUUCCUUUUAUUUUAUUUUUUUAUGUAUAUUAUUGAUUUUAUGUUAUUUUAUGCUUGUUUAUUUUCUUCUAAGGACCCUAUUUUAAAUGGUAUAUUUUAUUUAUUUUCGUAUGCUAGUACCUUUGUUUUUUUUAUGUAUAAAUUUUCAUUUCAAGUAUUAUUUAUUUAGAUUGACAAAUACUAUGCUAUGUAUUACUUUUUUUAUAUAUAUACAUUAUGUGUCUUGAAAUAUCGUUUAUAUAUUAUUAUGUCGUACAUUAUUUUUAUUUUUAUUAUUUUUUGACCUAUUCCAGACUGUCAUAUAUGUUACCUUAAGAUUUUUAUACAUUUGUUUGAUUGCAUACUAACGAUUCCAAAUUGCAUUUCUUCUAUAUUAUCUAUAUUAUUUGUUAAAACUUGCCACAUACUUUUAUCUCAUGUACAAAACUAAGCUUGUACACAUGUUAUUGCAUCAUGAUCUUUAAAUUCCAACUCUUUGCCCAACAUCAAUCGUUUUUUAUCCCCAAGCAAACCAAACAAGUAUUUUUAAUUCGGUUUUUAUAACUGUUAAUUUAAAAAUUUCCCAAAACAAAGGCAAUGUUUGAUGUUUGAAAUUUUGGAAAUCGUGCCCUAACGUACUGGGUUUCGAUUUUUCGUUUAUCCAAAAUAAUCAAGUAUCCCCUUUAAAGUUUCGUAUGUGUUUUCUAAACUUCAAAACAAGGCAAUGUUCUAUGUUUUGGAAAUCCGAGAAAUCGUGCCCUAACGUGUUGGAUUUCAAUUUUUCGUUGGACCAAAUGAUCGAGUAUCCUUUUGAAAUUUCAAAUAUAUGAGCUUUUGGAAAUUAAGACUCGGUUGUGGUUUCGAGGGUUUAGAAAGUUAUGUCUUAACGUGCUGGAUGUGAUAUUUUAUUCCUUCAUAACAAAAGAAUUCUUAAUGACCAAUUUGAGUUAUUCAAAUAUUUUAAAAGAAAUAGUAUUUCAAAAUAUCUUUUAAAUUUUAGACAUAAGGACAUUGAUUAAUCAAUUAGGUACCAAUUUUGGGCGUCACGAGGGUGCUAGCCCUUCCUCGUGCGUAACCGACUCCCGAACCCUUUUUUCUCGACUUACGUAGACCUGAAAUUAUUGUUUUAAUAAAUCAAAAUGUUUUAUUAAAAUGAUCAAUUUCAAGGUGAUCCGAUCCCACCUCAGAAGGGAUCGGUGGCGACUCCAAACUUUGAUUUUUCAAAGUCGAUCCCCGUUUUUUUCAAACUUUUAGAAAAUGGUUUCGACACAAGGCCUUAAUUGUUUUCCAUCUUUUGUUCAUAUGUUUGUUUUGAAAAGGUAAAACAAAUCCUCACCUAUUGAUGUUAGAACGGUUGAAUUGCUAAAAGCAUGCUGCGUGCAUAACCAUGCUUUAGGUUAGGCUUCAAAUCAAAUAAAUUUUAAAUUAUUUUUAUUUGAAUUUAAUUAUAAAAAUAUAUUAAUAUCAAUAUAAAAUUAUAUACAAUUUUAAGAUAUUUUAUUUUUCAAUAAUAAAACGAAUCAUCUACCAACCCUAAUUCUUCAGUUUUCUUUUUAAUUAGAUGAUAACUCAAGCCAAGCUAACCAAUAAACACCCAAAAUCUACCAUCAUUUUCAUUUUUUUUUCUUUUGUCACAAAGUAGACAGAAGAUUCGGUUUGGAUAAGCUCUACGUUAUUAAGUCAAAAGCUGAAGUAAUUUUAAUCAUAAAUUGUUUUAUUUGUUUAUAAUGCAAAACAAUGACCCAAUUAAUACAAUAAAGCUUUAACUUUGUGGGAAUUUUCAGUCCAAAAAAAAAAAAACAAUUUGUGGAAAUUUUAGAGCAGUUGACCAUUUCUUCCGAAUUAGUUUUCUCACUUCUUGUCCAUAUUCCAUGUAUAUUAUUUCAAGAAAUUAGGUUUAGAAAAUUGCAUAAUUCAACCAUUGAACUAAUAAAUAUUAAAGAAAAAUUGGGUGGCAAAAAUAUCUUAUUAAAAGCGAAUCAUAUACUAUUAAUAGAUUUUAUGAUUAAAUUAGUUUCACGUGUUAACGGGAUAUUAACUUGAUUUAGUAAAUUAUAAAAAUGUCUUUUAAUGUUUAAAAUAAAUUAUAUUAUUUGAAGAUAUUUUAAUUUUUUUAUUAAAAAAGGAUGAUGUCUCAAAUUAACUCACAAUCUAAUUUAAUUUUUUAUUUUAAUAUCGUAAAUGUUUCAUGUUUUAUUAUUAAUUUGUUUCAAAUUAUACAUUUCAUUAUUUAUUUUAUGUUAUUUUUAAACAUAUUUGUGUUCUAAAUACCAAAUUUUCACUUAAGGGUAUCAGAGACGAAUCUAGAGAGGCUAGUAGGGGCCCCGGUCUCCUUAAAAUGAAAAUUAUUAUUUAAGCCCUUUAGAAAAUUUUAAAAUUUUAAAUUAGUAAAUGUAAAAUUGCACUUUGACCCCCUAAAAUUAUAAAAAUUUAAUUUAAUCUUUUAAAAAUUAUAAAGAUAUAAACUAGUAAAAAUUAAAAUUUCAUUUCGAUCCUCCCUAAAACAUAUUUUUGGCUUCACCUAAAGGGUAUGACUAGUAUGAAUAAUUUUCUUUGGAAGUCUUAAACAAACAGGAGUUAAGUAAAAAGGAGUUUUCAUACAUACAUAUUCGGCGUUGAUGUUUCCCUUUCGAAAAUUUAAAUUAAGACAUAGGAAAAGAAACUAAAAUUGAGCUUAAUUUAUGCAGUUGGGUUCAAAAUUUAAUAUUUAAAUAUAAAAAUUCUAAUAAUUCGAUCUGGUCCGUUUCAUCUAGCAGACUAAUAAUAAAUCUUAAAACAUAUUAUAUUUUAAUUUUAAUAAAACCAAAACUGAUACAUUUGACCUACAUCUACAUGUGAUCUAUGCUUAAUUAAAUUAGUCUAAAUUAGACGAGAUCUUGAUUAGGAGUCAUUUAUUUAUAUUAUAAGUCCCUGAAACAUGCAAAACUUACAUUUAAAAAUUAAUAUUUUUACGUUGUUGUUAGAAUAUAGGGUUUGUUAAUGUUUUCGUGUGAAGUCAGCUGUUGACAUUACCAACCAGAUAAUGAAAAGGGAACAUGGCAAUUAUUCCAUCCUAAUUGUCACACACACACACACACCUAAUUAAGUUAAUCCAAAAAUUACCUAACGUUUAGCAUUUCAAUGGUAGAGUCAGCUCUUUCUUCUAGUCUAUCAAAAAAAAAAAAUCAAUUUAACCCCUAACUCUUGGAUGGAAAAGUUUUUGCUAUGAACUUGUUGAAGUGAAUCUAAUGUGAUAUAAACACAUCACAAUCCAUGUGUGUAAUUAAAAAUAAUAGAGAGAGAUUGAAUAAUUUAAAGGGAAAAAAAAAGAAUUUACUCCCUCCACUAACAGGUAACUCUUGCAGCUUGAAUCUACAACGUAUGUAUGAAAGUGAACACCUUUAAUUAAUGAAUAAAUACUAAAGUUCUAGGUUUAGAAUUAAUUAAAUAUCAAUACAAAAAGUUAAUUACUUUUUGAAAUAAGGAUAAAUCGGUUUUUGAGGUUUGAUAAUUUUUCACAUAUCGAGGUUUGAAUUUUUUUAUCUUAAGUUCUAAACUUGACAAUAGUUCUCAAGAUGUGAAGGUUUUUUUUUUAUCCAAAUUAGGCUAUGAACUUAGAUAGAAAUCUUAAAAUUCAACCCUAAUGUAGGUAUAAUUGUCAAGUUAAAAAAAAUUCAAAUCUUAAUAGAAGAAUAAUCUACUAAUUGGUAACCCUAAUAUAAAAACAAUUGUUAAGUUGAAAACUUAAUUUUUUUUAAAAAUUCAAACCCUUAUUAACUUUAGGAUUUAACCCUUUGAAAUAUUGCGUUAAUUAAUAAGUGUAAGAAUUAUUUUGUGUUAAUGAUUAAAUAAAUAUUUAAGUGGAGAUCAAGUUUUACCUCAUUUGUCAAUUGUCAGGUGAAGAAUAUAUACCCUAAAGGCCUAUCAAAAACGGACCUAUCUCUAUAUAUCUUUACUAAUUUACUAUUCAUUUUUAAUGAAAAGCAAUAAAUUAAUGAAAACGCUAUAAAACGAAAACUACAUGAAUAAAUUAUAUGUGUAAAAUUGAAAUAUUUCGUGACGACAUUAUUGAAAAAAAUAAUCAUUAACCUUAAAUAUAAACAAUUAUGACAUUUCUAUAAAAUAUCAUUUAAUAUAUUGCAUCAAAGUUUUAAAAAAUGUUAUGUGUAUACUUUUACCUCGUAUAAAAAAGUCUUUCAUUUCUCAAUUCUUAUGGCAUAGUAAAUUUAUUAUUAAUUUUUAAAAAAAAUGGUUAUUAUUUGUGUAUUAAAUAAUUAUUGGGAUAAAUUUUAAAGUUGUACAUGGAUUUUGGUUACAUGUUAAUUAUAAACAUUAACUUUGAUUUUAUAUAAUUUUAUAUAUGAAAUUUUAAUUUGAUCCAAUUCUCAUAAAUUAUUAACAUAAUUAUUGAUAUAAUAUCAUUUUAUGUUUAUAUGCUAUAUACAGAAAUAAUUAUAUUUAUUCAAUAUAAAAAUUAAUUGAUGUAUUUAUUUCUUUAAACGUAUAUGAUUGAAUCAAAAUUAAAACAUCAUGUAUACAUUUGAACCAUAACUAAAAUUUUACAUAUAUAAUUAUACAAAAUUACAAUUCAUAUACGUAAUAAACUAAAAUUCAAUUUUUUUAUAAAAUUAACCUAAAAAAUUUAAUUAAUUACAUAAAUGACCCUUUUUUUUAUUAAACACGUAAAUGACCUAAAAUCUACCGUGAAAAUUGGUGGAAGCAAAGAGUUUGGCACCACCAACAUGCCACGUCAGCAACCAAGAUAAAAAAAAUCAACUUUUUGGUAGAGCCAUGCAUAAUAGUGCUACUUGUAUAAAUAUCAGGAAAAUACUAUAAUUUCUAAAAAAUAAGGGACUUUAAUAAAAAAAAAUUCUAUUUUCUGGUGGAGCCAAAUAAAUUGGCGCCACCAGUUUCCAAUGUGAUUUUUUUUAAAGUUUUCUAAAAUUUUAAAUAUAUUAAAAAAUGUUAAGUAUAAUUAAUUUUAAAAGUUUAAUAUAUUUAAAAAUUUAAUAUACUUAAUAUAUAUUUUUAAUAGGUAAAGAAAAAAAUGAUUUUUUAAUAUAUUUAAAAUUUUAAAAAACUUAAAAAAUUUAAAUACUUUAAAAAAUAUUAAGUAUAACUAAUUUUAAAAUUUUAAUAUAUUUAAUAUAUUUUUAAAAUAUUUUUAAAAUUUUUAAUAUAUUUAAAUUUUUUAAAGUUUUUUAAAAUUUUAAAUAUAUUAAAAAAAAUUUCCUCAUUACCUAUUAAAAAUAUAUUAAAUAUAUUAAAAUUUUAACAUAUAUUUUUAAAAUAUAUAUUAAAUAUAUUAAAAUUUUAAAAUUAGUUAUACUUAACAUUUUUUUAAUAUAUUUAAUUUUUUACUAUUUUUUAAAAAUUUUAAAUAUAUUAAGAAAAUAUUUUUUAUAUUUACCUAUUAAAAAUAUAUUUUAAGUAUAUUAAAUUUUUAAAUAUAUUAAACUUUUAAAAAUAAUUAUACUUAACAUUUUUUAAUAUAUUUAAAAUUUUAGAAAACUUUAAAAAAAAUUACAUUUGAAACUGAUUGGCUCCACCAGAAAAUAGAAAAUUUUUAUUAAAGUCCCCCCAUUUUUUAGAAAUUAUAAUAUUUUUUUGAUAUUUAUACAAGUGGCGCCAUUCUACAUGGCUCUAUCAAAAAGUUGAUUUUUUUUAUCCUGGUUGCUGACGUGGCAUAUUGGUGGAGCUAAACUCUUUACCUCCACCAAUUUUCACAGAAAAUUUUAAGUUAUUUAUGUGUUUAAUCAAAAAAAUAGAUCAUUUAUAUAAUUAAUUAAAUUUUUUAAAUUAAUUUUAUAAAAAAAACCCUAAAAUUCAUAUAUAUAACUGUAAGAUUUAUGUCCACAAUUAUCUAAAGCUAAUCGGUGAUAAUUACUAUGGAAAUUCAAUGUACUUAACUAAUUGAUUGAUAGGAACAAGCAUGAUGAAAUCCAUGAUUGGGAAGAGAGAGAAUUCAAAAACUGAACGCCCCAUUAAUCCAUGCGAAUAAACUUUUUCGGUAUACAUCAUAAUUCAUUUAAUUUUAUCAUUAUCUCUAUGCUAUAAUUAUGUUUAAACUAAAAUACUUGAGACAUUAAUAGUUUGUGUUAUAUAAAUUAUGAUAUCCAUAUAUCCAUAUUAUAUAUAUAUUUUUAUAUUAUGAAUGCAUUUAAAAAAAAAUUAUGAAAAAUGUAGAGUCCGCAAAUAAAAAAUGGCUUACAAAUUAACAGAAAACCAAUUUUAUUUCUUGUAAAUUGAUUUACCAUAUUAAAAAGUGUAAAUCUUUUUUUAAAUUUAUUUACGAGUAAUUUUAUUUUUAUAAAAAUUAAUUUUAGCCAAGCCUAAUAUUAUUUUAUUAAUAAUAUUAUUUUUAUUUUUAUUUUUAAACAAUUUAAAAUUAUUAAUAUCAAAUAUUAUAAUGUUGAAUCCUAGUAACAUACAUAUUAAAUUAUUUAUAUUAUGUUAUAUUACAAUUUUAUUUUAAUAAUAAAUUUUAACAACAAUAAUUUUAAAUUUUAAAUCGUAUUUUUAAUAUAUUAUUGAAAAAUAUUUAUAUUAAUAUUUUAAUAAUAAAUAUAUAUUAAAAUUUAUAAAUAUUUAAUAAUAAAUUUUUUAUAGUAUAAAAUAUGAAUAUUUUAAUUAUAUAGAUAUGAGUAUUUGUUUAAAUCAUGCUUAAGUUCAUUUAUCUCCCAACUCUAAUGUGUCAUUAUACACUGUCAUAUAUAUAAUAUAUGUAAUUUAAGCAUUAUUUAUUAUUAAAUUUAUAUAUGAUAUUAAUUAUAAUAAAAUAUUAUCUUAUUAUAAAAGAAAUUCCAAUUGUCAAAAAGAAAUGUUACUCUAAUAUUUUGUAAUAAGUAUAUUUAUAUUGUAUUUGUUUCACUAAUAACAAAUUUAAAAUGAUUUUAGAAAAAAAUAUCAAAAAAUAAAAAAUAUUUUAAUCAAAAUAAUUCAAAUAAAAAAAACUAAACUUUUCCAUGAAAUCAAUCCAAUUUUAAGAAAACAUUAAAAUUGUUUUAGGUGAAACAAAAGGAACCUAUAUUUUAUAUAGUAUUUGAAAAGUUGUUGUAUCUAGAAUUAUUAUCUUUAAUUUUUUUUAGGUCUAUUUCUAAUUUUCAAAAAUUGAGAAGUUAAUUUCUCUAUUUUACUUUAUCAGUCCGUGCUUAUUUUUUAUUAAUUUGUUGUGUAUAAAUGGUUAAACUAUUGAUUUUUGUUAAUUACUAGCAUGUAAAUUGUUAAACUACUUGUUCCCAAGUCAACAGUAAAGCUUAAUAGUAUUAUCAAUUUGGAAUAAUUUCUGAGAUUUUUCUUUUAUUUUGCGUGAUUAAGAUAUUUUUCAUGUACGGUUUAAGGUUUAUGAAGACUAAUCCUUUCGAGUUUAUAACUACCCUUUUUAAUAAUGUCGUCUUUAAAAUUCGAGUUCUCUUUCUUGUAAGUACAAUAUGCCUUACAUUUAUAACUAAUACUUCUUAUUUUUGUAAAAUAUAAGAAUCAAAUUAUGUAGUAAGAUUAAUUUCUAGAUUUUUUAAAUUUAAAAUUUAACAUUUAAAAUAUUAUCAAUCACAUCACACACAAAACCAAAGAGCAAGAGAAUCUAAAAAACACGUGGACCAUUAAUUUAGGAAUGGACAGAAACUCAUGCAAAAUGGUUGGAAAACACGUACAGGAUUAUAUAUACUAAUCAUUUUUAUUAUUAAGCAGAAUUGGAAAUAAAUAAAUACGGGCGAAACCACUGAAUAAUACAGCAUUGAAAUGCAAUUUGUCUACAUCAUUAUUGUUCUUCACUUCAAACGCGGAGACUAGUCUAGGGUCCCAAUCUUUUGCUUUAUCUCUCUAGAUAUAUCCUUUUCAAACUAUCUUUUUGUAGCUUUAUUUGCAUCACAGCAUUAUCUUUUCCUGCAAACAACUGUUUAAAGAUUAAAACAUGCAAAACAUUCUGAAAUAAUGCACCCUGACCAGAUGACAAAAAAAAAAGAGGAUUCUAAUGUAUCUUACCUUGGAUUGGAGCACGGUCAAAGCCGUGGCUUAGUAGUGGUGAGGAGGAGGGGGUGAAGCGUAGACAUAAUGGGGUGGGGGUGGAGGAGGAGACUUGUAUUUGUAAACUGGAGGAGGAGGUGGUGGAGACUUGUACUUGUAAGGGUGCUUGGGGGGUGAUGGUGGGGGUGGUGGGGGUGACUUGUACUUGUAGGGGUGCUUGGGUGGUGACGGUGGGGGUGGGGACUUGUACUUGUAAGGGUGCUUGGGGGGUGAUGGUGGUGGUGGUGGAGGUGACUUGUACUUGUAGGGGUGCUUGGGUGGUGACGGUGGUGGUGGUGGGGGGGACUUGUACUUGUAGGGAUGCUUUGGUGGGGAUGGUGGUGGUGGUGGUGGGGACUUGUACUUGUAGGGAUGCUUAGGUGGGGAUGGUGGUGGUGGUGGAGACUUGUAUUUGUAAGGAUGCUUUGGUGGUGAUGUUGGUGGAGGUGGUGGGGACUUGUACUUGUAAGGGUGCUUGGGUGGUGAUGGAGGUGGAGGUGGUGGAGACUUAUACUUGUAAACUGGAGGUGGUGGGGGUGGAGACUUGUACUUGUAGGGGUGCUUGGGUGAUGAUGGAGGUGGAGGUGGUGGAGACUUAUACUUGUAAACUGGAGGUGGUGGGGGUGGAGACUUGUACUUGUAAGGGUGCUUGGGUGGUGAUGGUGGGGGUGGGGACUUGUACUUGUAGGGGUGUUUAGGUGGUGAUGGUGGUGGUGGUGGUGGGGACUUGUACUUGUAAGGAUGCUUGGGUGGUGAUGGUGGUGGAGGUGGAGGAGACUUGUACUUGUAAGGAUGCUUGGGUGGUGAUGGUGGUGGAGGUGGUGGAGACUUAUACUUGUAAACAGGAGUUGGUGGGGGAGGAGAUUUGUACUUGUAAGGUUUCUUGUGUGGUGGUGGUGGAGGAGAGUAGACCGGAGGAG
rnacentral:lncRNA from 1 species